GAAAUUCUUUCUUAUUGAAUCGGAAAGAGAGAUAAUGUCUUGACUAACAUCACCAUCGCCUUCUAUCGGAGUUAAACCAUCUGGAAUAGUCUCAAAGGUAAAAUCAGUGAAACCAUCAAAGGCUUUUGGACCUCUUGAUUUGAGCAAACGUUUGUGAUUGUAUUCGGUGUUGACAAAGGUUAUGUGAAAGCCUCUAAGAUGAAGAAGUUUUGCUAGUUUUAACAACGGAUUGAUAUGGCCUUGAAGUGGAUAUGGAGUUAUCACUGCAUGUGGCUUAAUUCUCUCUGCAAAAUUGCUCAUGUUUGAAUUUGUGUGUGUAAGAUAAGUUUAAGAAUAAAGGGAUACAAGUGAUCUUUGCUUUAAUAGAGAGAAAAUGUCAUCUUCAUUGUUUGGUGUAAGAAAAUGAGGGAAGUACAAAGGAUAAGUGUUAUACCCUGUUUUUGGACCUAAAAAUACUGGGCCCAAUUUCAUUUCAAACUUUGUCAAUUAUCAAAUUUCAACUGCACAGUUCAAAUUGUCUCUGCCUCGCAGUAUUUUUCAAUCACAAUUUUACCUAUGUUUUUCUUGCAUAAAACCUUUCGAAAUGUCUUUACUUGUCUUGUAAGUCAUUCAAAAGUGUCUCUGAAUCAUUACAUUGCUUUUUCCACAGUUUAUUUCAAAAUUUGCAAAGAAGUCAUACAGAAGGGUAUUUUGGUCAUUUCCCGCAGUGGGACCCAUUUUCAUCCUUGUGACUGUCUCUGAGUCUUUUCAAAUUCAUUUUUAACUUUCCAUCAGUAAACCUUGCUAAUUUCGUUUCAAACUUGCAUCUGAGUCAGUGUCGAGUUAAUUUGAUUCUGUUUAGGUCAUUUUUAGCCCUAGGGGCAUUUUGGUCAUUUCACAUAAAAUUUUGGCAUGGGGAGGUUACUUUGAAGUACCUCAUUUAGGCCAUUGGUUCGUUUUAGUCCGUUUUGUCAAUUUUAUUUUUUUGUUUCGCUUUACGUUUUGUCAGGUUACCAAUUUUAUUUCAAUUUUAUUUUAUUUUGCAUUUUGGUCCUCAAAGAGGUCCAAAAUUGCAUUUCAGUCCAGAAUUCUUUCUAUUUGCAUUUUUAGUCCUUUUUGUUAUUUCCAUUUUAGUCCUUUAAUUUUUCAAUUUUGCAGAAAAGGGCUCAAAGUGUCAAGCUCACGUUUUUUUUCAGUUAAAGUCCAGAUGUCACAAUUCUAUUGGUCCAAGAUCACACAUGUCAGCUAUAAAAGGUGUACAGUGCCACACAGACCCAUUAAUCACACGCCAACUCAUAAACACAAAAUCAAUUUUCUCUUUCUCAGCAAUUAGAUCAAAAACAGAAAAUCUCUCAGAAUUUCUCAAGAACACCAGGAACAAAAACCCUAACCGUUUUCCAGAAACCCUAAUUUUCAUCAGAAUCAACAUUUUUUGCAUCAAUCCUCAGAGAUUCGUGUGAAUCUUCAUCACCGGACUGAAGAUUUUCCUGCAAUUCCAAGUGCGAGCUCGCAUUGAAGCAAGCUCAAGCACUGAUCACAGGAUCUCCUCGCGUGGAUCUAAGAAACAUUGAAGCAAGCUCAAGCACGUAAUCACAGAGAAGCAGAGAAAGAGUCAGAGAAGAUGAAGAAUCUGGACCGGUGAAGCAAACAGAAUCAAAAAUCAUCAAGAACAGAAUCAAGAUUUCCAAAGAUUUCCUCCAUUAAAGGUUUCAACCAAAACCUUAGGUAAAACUCAUAAUCUUUUCUCAGAAAAUAAUAUCACUGUUAAACCUAAAAAUCACGCAAGCAAAACAGAUCCAAAAUUUCCAGAAUUCAAAGCCAAAACCGUAACCGUGAACACAAAACCUAGAUCCAUAAGGAUCUAAGUUUUGAAAGCAAAAACAAACAUCAAAGAGGUGUUAAACAACGAAAUGAUGUAGAUCUUCAAGGAUCUAAACGUUUUCUUUCAAAAAAUCAAAAUCAAAUUCAAAGCCGUACGACAAAUUUCCAGAUCUACAUCGUUUCGAAUUGAAUUUGAAAAAACAAUUGCUGGAUUCGUGUUUAGGGUUAAAGGACGAAUUGAUUGAUGAAGAAAUUUUGAAAUUCUGGAAAUUUUAGGUCACCGGAGUUCUUGAACUCGCCGGAGAAGAUGAAGUUUCCGGCGGACCUUCAAGGUCUCCGCCGUAGCUUCAUCCUCGCCGGCGGCGAGGUUAGUGAGAGGUGAGAGAAGAGAGAGGAACUUAGAGAGAGAAAGGGGAGUGAAAAGUGAAGAAAACCGGAACCUCUUCCCUUAUAUAAGCUAGUGAACCAGACCGGUUCAAGACCGGUCCAAUCCUGUUGAUUCCAGGCCGUUUGAUCUAGGGUUUCAGGAUCCUGGAUCAAUCCUGUGGCUCCUGUGAAUCCGGUUCUUUAGGGUUUUGGGUUGGGCCUUUGGUUUCUUUGGAUCUUUACGUUUUGCUAUUUCUGUGCUAUUCACACCCCUAUUUUUUGCUGCCUGCACCUAUGUCUUGAUUAAAAUUGUGAUAAAAUUCCUAGAAAAAUUCAUACAUGUUUCUUGAUAUUUUCUUAGUGUUUUUAUGACAUUUUUGCACAUUAAGGAUCUAUGAAAAUUUUGUAUAAUCAAUUCAUAGCAUUUUAAUUCUCUUUGAAUUAUUUGUUAUGGAUUCUUCUUCACACAUUUGUCCUUGAUGUGAGAAUAUGUAAUAAAAGCUACUUGAUGUGUUAAUAUGAGAGAUUUGUGCCUAUAAUUUCAUGUUGAUUUGCUGUUUUGAUUUGGUUUAUGAGUUCUUGUUUUUAUGAACAAUAUAUCCAUAUUUUGAAAGAUAUAAAAUGCCAAGUUUACUCUAGAAAAUAUGGCAUGAAAUCAUGCUUGCAUGUUUCCAAUAAUUCCAUGCUAUAACUUGAGAUAAAGAAAACUCUUUCAAAAUUUGUUAAAGCAUGAGAAUUAGAGGCCAAGAAUGCUUUAGGUUUCAUACCUAAGUUUUUAGGGUUUAAUGUCAUUUUGUUAACUUUUUGUGCCAUCUUGCAUGCUUUUAUUUCUUAGUACUUGUUAUGUUUUUUCUUUUCACUAACAAGUUUAUUUCCAUGUUUCAUGCAUCCCAUUUAGCAUUCCCUCCACUUUCUUUAGCCUAGCCUUUAUCUUUUGCAAGUUUUAAUUCAUUUGGUAAUGUAAUUUGUUAUCAUUGGUUUGUAGCUUGGCAAAGGGGCCAUAGAAUGUAUUUAGGCAAUUUUUGUAAUAUGGACUAUGGACACUAUGAUGCACCGACACGCACACACUCACCUUAGAUGUAUGCAUAGGAUUGUAUGGUUAAAUAAGCGUUUAGGUUUUAAACACUUAGAGAAAAUCCAUCUUUUUUUCAAAAAAAAAUAAUUGAACUUCACUUCAAAAACUUUCCUAAUAAGUAUGAAGUCAACACUUCAUUUUUUUCCUUUCUUUUUUUCUUAAGAAAAAUUCAAUUCAUCUUAAUCAUUUAGACUUUCUUUCUAAUCACUAAUCAAACCUCACUUUUUGCUAAAUCUAAUGCUCAUGAAGCCUCCCAAUCUCCUUCUUCAAAACCUUUUUUCUCAAAACUUAAAAUUAAACAAUUAGAACAAAAAACAAGUCUUUUUAGCAAGAACUACGCCGGUUUUGAUCCCGUAAAACGGUACGUAGGCAAUGAGUCAAAACUCAUCCAAGCCGAAAUAAAAUCCAAUUCUACUUCUUCUCACCCCCAUUCUUCACUAAUCAUACUUUCUUUUUUACAAAUAAGCAAUAAAACUAAAGCGUAGAAAUAAACUUAGGAAAGCGGUUCUUAUGGAGUACCAUAAUCGCUCCGGGUGCCUAACACCUUCCCGUAGCGAAAACGACCCCCGAACUUAGAAUCUAAGGGUUUUUCUCAAUUUUGCCCUUCCCAAGAAAAAAUAGAGAAUAUCAACGGUCAAAAGGUUCAAGUCCAAUUAAUGGCUUGGCACCCAAAAACCAUGAUAACAGAAAUGGCGACUUCACUGGGGAUUUUUUUAGCGGGUCACGCCUAGUUUUCCUUAGUUUAUUUACGCUUUGUUUUAUUGCUUACAUAUGUGAAUACUUGUUUACUUUCAUUUGACGUGUGGGGUGAGAAUAUCAAAAGUCCUAUACCCGGGCUGAGUGAACUUAUGUUUAGGUAGAGAUAUAAUCGAGAAUUCGAUCCGGGGGUUGCCUCGUGUAUUGGAUUAUGCGAUCAAUCUCACAUAGCUGAGGCAUUUUGAAGGUGAUAUUGUCGGCGUGUGUUGUCAUGCUUAGGCACUUCACUUUCAAUUGUUCGACGAAGCUAUGAACCGUAGUUACCAAACCCAUCCUAGCCUUUUUAGGACGUAGUGCGGUGGCUAAAUUGAGUGUUGUCUCAAACUUUAGUCGUCACGCGAUACUACACUCAAGCUAGACCUUCUCACAAAUAAUCAUGGAACGGGUGUCGUCCUGUACUACCAUGAUAUAUGUGAGAGAGGUUGCAGUUUGGGAACUGUGUUAGAACCAUGGUUACUACUAUCCAAAGCCUUAGUUCACCGGACGCCGUGUCCAUCCGUGGCCCCGUUACUUUGAAACUCAAUCCACUUUUAACAACACGAUCAUGCAUACAUGCAUUCAUGCAUAAACAUUUUUCAUGCAUUCAUCGAAGGGUUUAAACAAAUGGAAAUUUUUGUAAAUAAUCACAGGUAUGAAGAAGACUAAGUGCUACAAGUUCAAGGAAGUGGAUUUGGUUAGUUUGAGAGAGUUGGCACUCAAGGUCAAGAGUCAAACAGGGUUCCGACUCCGGUAUGGGGGAUUGCUUACUUUGCUCCGAACCGAUGUGGACGAGAAGCUAGUGCACACUCUAGUGCAAUUUUAUGAUCCAAGCUUCUGUUGCUUCACCUUCCCGGACUUCCAGUUGGUUCCUACUCUCGAGGCUUACUCCAAUCUAGUGGGUUUACCUAUGGCCGAGAAGACGCCUUUCACCGGUCCCGGGACUUCUCUUACUCCUCUGGUUAUUGCUAAGGAUCUCUACCUCAAGACUUCCGACGUCUCCAACCAUCUUAUUACCAAGUCUCACAUUCGGGGGUUCACUUCGAAGUAUCUUCUUGAUCAGGCUAAUCUCGGUACUACUCGUCAGGAUACACUCGAGGCUAUUCUUGCUUUGCUUAUCUACGGGCUCAUUCUCUUCCCGAACCUCGACAACUUCGUGGACAUGAAUGCUAUCGAGAUCUUUCAUUCCAAGAACCCGGUUCCUACUUUGCUAGCGGAUACCUACCACGCCAUUCAUGACAGGACUCUCAAGGGCCGUGGGUAUAUUCUUUGCUGCAUACCUCUUCUGUAUAGGUGGUUUAUUUCGCACCUUCCGAGUUCCUUCCAUGAUAACUCGGAGAACUGGUCCUACUCGCAGCGGAUUAUGGCCCUCACUCCUAAUGAGGUCGUCUGGCUCACUCCGGCCGCUCAGGUGAAGGAAAUUGUCAUGGGUUGUGGAGACUUUCUCAAUGUACCUCUUCUUGGUACUCGUGGAGGAAUUAACUACAACCCCGAGCUUGCUAUGAGGCAGUUUGGUUUUCCUAUGAAGUCGAAGCCCAUCAAUCUUGCUACAUCUCCAGAGUUCUUCUUCUAUGCGAAUGCUCCUACCGGACAAAGGAAAGCUUUCAUGGAUGCUUGGUCCAAGGUUCGAAGGAAGAGUGUGAAGCAUCUAGGUGUGAGAUCCGGUAUUGCUCAUGAGGCCUAUACUCAGUGGGUGAUAGAUCGAGCUGAGGAGAUCGGUAUGCCUUAUCCAGCUAUGAGAUAUGUGUCUUCGUCUACUCCAUCUAUGCCUCUACCUCUACUCCCCGCGACUCAGGAUAUGUAUCAGGAGCAUCUAGCUAUGGAGAGUCGUGAGAAGCAAGUGUGGAAAGCUCGGUACAAUCAAGCCGAGAAUCUAAUCAUGACUUUGGAUGGUAGAGAUGAGCAGAAGACUCAUGAGAAUCUAAUGUUGAAGAAAGAGCUAGCUAAGGCCCGGAGGGAAUUGGAAGAGAAAGAUGAGCUGCUUAUGAGGGACUCCAAGAGAGCCAGAGGACGACGAGACUUCUUUGCCAGAUACUGUGAUUCAGAUUCCGAGUCCGAUGAUCUUCCGACUACUUCCUAUGCUUGAGGGCUUCAUAUGUUUAUUUCAAAGUCUUUCUGUUGAGAAUACUAUGUAGUUUUGUUUAUUUGCAAGAUUUCUAAUUUGUUUAAAAAUCCUUCGAUGAGAGAAUAAGUCUUUUGCAUUUGCAUUUGCACAUCAUGCAUCAUAUGCAUCAUGCAUUGGUCACAAAGGCUUCCAAGUGCUUACCACCUCCUGGUUUCUCUGCCGCAGUGUGAAAAGUGGCUCGUGCUCAGAGAAUUUACGAACCUGAUAGAAUUGAUCGAACCAGAGAAUACAGAAGAAAGAAAAGGGCUAUGGAAGAAGAGAACACACAGCUUCGUACCGAAUUGGCAUCUCUAAGGGAGGAAUUGGCCAAAGCUCAUGAUGCUAUGACUGCUCUGUUGGCUGCUCAGGAACAACCAGUUCCUGUAGUUUCUACAGCUGCAAAUGUGACUCCUACCGUAACAACUGAUCCCCGCUCUAUCAUGCCAUCCGGGUACCCUUACGGACUUCCGCUGUACUAUACUACUAAUACAGGGGCAGGGACCUCUGGUACUACCAACAAUGGCCCAAUCCCAGGGGCAAACUUAACUCCUGUUAGUACCGCCUUGACUCAAGCUGCAACGACUGUUACCGAGCCCAUUGUGAAUGCGGUGCCUCUAUUUGUCCAUGCUAAUGCGCACCACGGGAGUAUUGCCACAACCGGAACUAUGGAAGAGAGAAUGGAAGAACUUGCCAAAGAGCUCCGACGGGAAAUUAAGGCCAACAGGGGAAACGGGGACUCCAUUAAAACCCAGGAUCUCUGCUUGGUAUCGAAGGUAGAUGUUCCAAAAAAGUUCAAAGUCCCGGAGUUCGACAAAUAUAACGGGCUGACUUGUCCUCAAAAUCAUAUUGUCAAAUACGUCCGGAAGAUGGGCAACUACAAGGACAAUGAUUCCCUUAUGAUCCAUUACUUCCAAGACAGUCUGAUGGAAGAUGCUGCAGAGUGGUAUACUAGUCUGAGCAAAGAUGAUGUCCAUACCUUUGAUGAGCUAGCCACCGCUUUCAGGAGCCACUACGGGUUUAACACUCGUUUGAAGCCGAAUAGGGAGUUCCUCAGGUCCCUAUCUCAGAAAAAGGAGGAGAGUUUCCGUGAAUAUGCGCAAAGGUGGAGAGGGGCAGCUGCCCGUAUCACUCCUGCUUUAGAUGAAGAAGAAAUGACCCAGACAUUCUUAAAGACCUUGAAGAAGGAUUAUGUUGAGAGGAUGAUCAUCGCCGCCCCGAACAACUUUUCAGAGAUGGUCACUAUGGGAACCCGUCUUGAGGAAGCAGUCAGGGAUGGAAUCAUUGUGUUUGAGAAAGCUGAAUCUUCUACGAGUGCAUCGAAGAGGUAUGGUAAUGGACACCACAAGAAGAAAGAAACGGAAGUGGGGAUGGUGUCAGCUGGAGCCGGUCAAUCUAUGGCUACUGUUGCACCUAUCAAUGCAGCUCAAAUGCCUCCGUCAUACCCAUAUAUGCCGUAUUCUCAGCAUCCGUUCUUCCCACCGUUUUAUCAUCAGUAUCCUUUGCCACCAGGCCAACCUCAGGUUCCUGUCAAUGCCAUCGCUCAACAGGUACAACAUCAACCGCCAGUUCAACAGCAGCAGCAGCAGUAUACUAGACCAACUUUUCCUCCUAUACCAAUGUUGUAUGCUGAGUUGCUUCCAACUUUACUCCAGAGAGGACAUUGCACAACUAGACAGGGCAAGCCACCACCUGAUCCGUUGCCUCCAAGGUUCAGGUCUGAUCCCAAAUGUGACUUUCAUCAAGGUGCCUUAGGUCAUGAUGUCGAGGGGUGUUAUGCUUUGAAGUAUAUUGUGAAGAAGCUCAUUGAUCAGGGAAAGCUGACUUUUGAGAACAAUGUUCCACAUGUCCUUGACAAUCCACUACCAAAUCAUGCCGCUGUGAAUAUGAUCGAAGUGUGUGAGGAAGCUCCUAGACUUGAUGUCCGCAAUGUUGCCACUCCCCUGGUGCCUCUGCAUAUCAAGCUAUGCAAAGCUUCUCUGUUCAGCCAUGAUCAUGCCAAGUGUCUAGGAUGCCUCCGUGAUCCUUUGGGUUGCCAUACUGUUCAAGACGACAUCCAAAGCCUGAUGGAUGAUAAUCUUCUGACUGUCAGUGAUGUUUGCGUGGUCGUGCCAGUUUUUCACGAUCCGCCUGUCAAGAGUGUACCUUUGAAGAAGAAUGCUGAGCCUUUGGUGAUAAGGUUGCCAGGACCAAUUCCUUAUGUUUCGGACAAGGCAGUGCCAUACAAGUACAAUGCUACUAUGAUAGAAAAUGGAGUAGAGGUGCCUCUAGCCUCCUUUGCCACAGUAAGCAAUAUUGCCGAAGGGACUUCUGCAGCGCUAAGAAGCGGGAAGGUUCGUCCGCCAUUAUUUCAGAAGAAGGUAGCUACGCCAAUCACUCCACCAGUUGAAGAAGCAACUCCAACCGUUGUUUCACCCAUUGCUACAGAUGUGAAUCAGCCAGGCAAGUCUAUAGAGGAUUCGAAUUUAGAUGAGAUUCUGAGAAUAAUAAAGAGGAGCGACUACAAGAUCGUUGAUCAAUUGCUGCAAACUCCUUCGAAGAUAUCCGUCUUGUCACUACUCUUGAGCUCUGAGGCUCAUAGGAAUACCUUGUUGAAAGUGCUGGAGCAGGCUUAUGUUGACCACGAAGUCUCGGUAGAUCGUUUCGGUGGCAUAGUGGGAAAUAUCACUGCUUGUAACAACCUCUGGUUCAGUGAAGAAGAGUGGCCAGAAGUGGGAAAGGGUCACAAUCUGGCUUUGCACAUCUCGGUGAACUGUAAAUCAGACAUGAUAUCAAAUGUGUUGGUGGAUACCGGUUCCUCUCUCAAUGUAAUGCCCAAGACAACUCUAGAUCAGUUGAGCUACCGCGGGACCCCGUUGAGGAGAAGUACUUUCUUGGUCAAAGCUUUUGACGGAUCUCGAAAGAAUGUGCUGGGAGAGAUAGACUUGCCGAUAACUAUUGGCCCUGAGAAUUUCUUGGUUACCUUCCAAGUGAUGGACAUUAAUGCAUCCUACAGUUGCCUGCUGGGAAGACCGUGGAUACACGAUGCAGGUGCGGUUACUUCCACUUUACAUCAGAAGUUGAAAUUUGUGAAGAAUGGAAAACUCGUUACAAUCCAUGGUGAAGAAGCAUACUUAGUCAGCCAGUUGUCUUCUUUUUCUUGUGUUGAAGCAGGGUCUGCUGAAGGGACUGCUUUCCAAGGUUUGACCAUUGAAGGCGCAGAGCCUAAGGAAGCUGGGGCUGCUAUGGCUUCAUUGAAAGAUGCUCAGAGAGCCAUCCAAGAAGGUCAGACUGCCGGCUGGGGCAAGGUGAUACAGCUCUGUGAGAACAAGCGUAAAGAAGGUCUCGGGUUCUCCCCGUCAUCAAGGGUUUCCUCGGGAGUCUUCCACAGUGCAGGGUUUGUUAAUGCUAUCUCUGAAGAAGCCACUGGAUCUGGUCUCAGGCCUGUAUUUGUUACACCAGGAGGCAUUGCGACAAAUUGGGAUGCCGUUGACAUUCCUUCAAUCAUGCAUGUUUCUGAGUAAUGUGUCUUGUUGCUUUAGUACUUUGUUUUCAAAAUAACAAUCCUCUCGCUCUGCCCAAAGCGAGAGUGAUAUUUUCUGUAAGGGCAUGUUUGUUUCGGCAUUGCCGUUGAUUAAUAAAAUUUUGUCGUUUCUUCCACGACUACUUUUUUUAAGUGCUUUUUCCCUUGGAAGCAAUGGUAAUGCCAGAAAAAACCAAAACGUCUGUAUUUUCUUAUUAAUUUCAAAAAUCUGCAUGAAAAAAAACUCUUUCUAAAAAUCAUCCAAUCAUUAUAUGCAGGUUGAACCAUAAUAAAUCCGUUGAACACAGUAAUCCUACGGUUCCUCCAAGUUUUGAUUUCCCUGUAUAUGAAGCCGAAGAUGAGGAAGGUGAUGACAUACCGUAUGAGAUCACUCGGUUACUUGAGCAAGAAAAGAAAGCCAUUCAGUCUCACCAAGAAGAGAUUGAGCUUAUCAACAUAGGUACCGAGGAAAACAAGCGAGAAAUCAAGAUUGGUGCUACCCUAGAGGAAGGGGUUAAACAGAAGAUCAUCCAACUCCUCCGGGAAUAUCCGGAUAUUUUUGCAUGGUCCUAUGAAGAUAUGCCAGGUCUAGACCCUAUGAUCGUGGAGCAUCGGAUCCCUACCAAGCCUGAAUGUCCUCCCGUCAGGCAGAAAUUGAGAAGGACUCAUCCUGACAUGGCCCUCAAGAUUAAGAGUGAAGUUCAAAAGCAGAUUGAUGCGGGUUUCCUCAUGACAGUGGAGGUAUCCCGAAUGGGUUGCCAAUAUUGUGCCUGUGCCAAAGAAGGAUGGUAAAGUCCGGAUGUGUGUUGACUUUAGGGACUUGAACAAAGCCAGUCCAAAAGACAACUUUCCGUUACCUCAUAUUGAUGUGCUUGUUGAUAAUACUGCUCAAUCUAAGGUGUUCUCCUUCAUGGACGGUUUUUCCGGUUAUAAUCAGAUCAAAAUGUCUCCUGAAGAUAGAGAAAAGACAUCUUUUAUCACGCCAUGGGGUACUUUCUGCUACAAAGUGAUGCCGUUCGGCCUAAUCAAUGCUGGUGCUACCUACCAAAGGGGAAUGACCACUCUGUUUCAUGACAUGAUUCACAAAGAAGUUGAGGUAUAUGUGGAUGACAUGAUUGUGAAGUCAGCAGAUGAGGAGCAGCAUGUUGAAUAUUUAACAAAGAUGUUUGAAAGGUUGAGAAAAUACAAGCUGCGACUGAAUCCCAACAAAUGUACAUUCGGUGUCAGGUCUGGAAAGUUAUUAGGCUUCAUUGUCAGCCAAAAGGGCAUUGAAGUCGAUCCUGAUAAAGUCCGGGCCAUCCGAGAAAUGCCAGCUCCACAGACAGAGAAGCAAGUCAGAGGUUUCUUGGGACGUUUGAAUUACAUCUCCCGAUUCAUAUCUCAUAUGACUGCAACCUGCGGGCCGAUCUUCAAACUACUUAGAAAGAACCAGCCUGUUGUAUGGGAUGAUGAAUGCCAAGAAGCUUUUGAUAGCAUCAAGAAUUACCUGCUGGAACCACCUAUCCUUGUCCCACCCGUGGAAGGAAGGCCUUUGAUUAUGUAUUUGGCAGUAUUUGAUGAAUCCAUGGGAUGUGUACUUGGUCAACAAGAUGAAACCGGAAAGAAAGAGCAUGCUAUCUACUAUCUAAGCAAGAAGUUCACCGAUUGUGAAACUCGGUAUACAAUGCUUGAAAAGACUUGUUGUGCUCUAGCUUGGGCUGCCAAACGCCUGCGCCAUUAUUUGGUGAAUCAUACAACUUGGUUGAUAUCCAGAAUGGAUCCGAUAAAGUAUAUCUUUGAGAAAGCGGCCGUUACUGGGAAGAUCGCACGCUGGCAGAUGCUUUUGUCUGAAUAUGAUAUUGUGUUCAAAACUCAAAAGGCAAUCAAAGGCAGCAUUCUUGCCGAUCACCUUGCUUAUCAACCUCUUGAUGAUUACCAACCAAUUGAAUUCGAUUUCCCUGAUGAAGAGAUCAUGUAUUUGAAAUCCAAAGACUGCGACGAACCGUUGAUUAAUGAAGGUCCAGAUCCCAAUAGCAAGUGGGGUUUAGUCUUUGAUGGUGCUGUCAAUGCUUAUGGCAAAGGAAUUGGGGCAGUCAUUGUAUCCCCGCAAGGGCAUCACAUUCCUUUUACCGCCCGUAUUCUGUUCGAAUGUACAAACAAUAUGGCUGAGUAUGAAGCAUGUAUCUUCGGGAUCGAGGGAGCAAUUGACAUGAGAAUCAAACACCUCGACAUCUAUGGAGAUUCUGCGCUCGUCAUCAAUCAGAUAAAGGGUGAAUGGGAGACCCACCAUGCUAAGUUGAUUCCUUAUCGUGAUUAUGCGAGACGUCUUCUGACAUAUUUUACAAAGGUUGAGCUGCAUCAUAUUCCUCGUGAUGAGAACCAAAUGGCUGAUGCUCUUGCUACUCUAUCUUCCAUGUUUCGAGUAAACCAUUGGAAUGAUGUGCCAUUAAUUAAAGUGCAACGCCUUGAAAGACCUUCGCAUGUGUUUGCUAUUGGGGAUGUGAUCGAUCAGGCUGGUGAAAAUAUGGUUGACUAUAGACCCUGGUACUACGACAUCAAACAGUUCUUGCUGAGCCGUGAGUAUCCGCCGGGUGCUUCCAAACAAGACAAGAAGACCUUGAGAAGAUUGGCCGGUAGAUUCUUGUUAGAUGGAGAUAUUCUGUACAAGAGGAACUAUGACAUGGUAUUGUUAAGAUGUGUUGAUGAACAUGAAGCAGAGCAGUUAAUGCAUGAUGUACAUGACGGUACCUUCGGGACCCAUGCUACAGGGCAUACUAUGUCAAGAAAGUUGCUACGGGCAGGUUACUACUGGAUGGCCAUGGAGCAUGAUUGCUACCAAUACGCCAGAAAAUGCCACAAAUGUCAAAUCUAUGCUGAUAAGAUUCAUGUGCCUCCGCACGCUCUCAAUGUUAUGUCAUCCCCAUGGCCGUUCUCAAUGUGGGGCAUCGAUAUGAUUGGAAGAAUUGAACCGAAAGCUUCAAAUGGUCAUCGUUUCAUCUUAGUGGCAAUUGACUACUUUACCAAAUGGGUUGAAGCAGCAUCUUAUACCAAUGUGACCAAGCAAGUGGUAGCUAAGUUCAUCAAGAACAACAUCAUCUGUCGAUAUGGUGUUCCCAGCAAGAUUAUUACCGACAAUGGUACCAACCUGAACAACAAUGUGGUGCAAGCUCUUUGUGAAGAAUUCAAAAUUGAGCAUCAUAACUCUUCUCCUUAUAGACCUCAGAUGAAUGGUGCAGUUGAGGCCGCCAAUAAGAAUAUCAAGAGAAUUGUCCAGAAGAUGGUAACCACUUACAAGGACUGGCAUGAGAUGUUACCCUAUGCUCUGCAUGGCUACCGUACUACCAUGCGCAGUUCAACCGGGGCAACCCCUUUCUCUCUUGUAUAUGGUAUGGAAGCAGUUCUUCCUUUGGAAGUGGAGAUCCCAUCUCUCCGUGUGAUCAUGGAAGCAAAGUUAUCCGAAGCUGAAUGGUGCCAAAGCCGGUAUGAUCAGUUGAAUUUGAUUGAGGAAAAACGUAUGGAUGCCAUGGCUCGUGGACAGUCAUAUCAAGCAAGAAUGAAGACUGCCUUUGACAAGAAAGUCCAUCCUCGAGAAUUCAAGGUAGGGGAACUUGUAUUGAAAAGGAGGAUAAGCCAGCAACCCGACCCGAGGGGCAAGUGGACGCCUAACUAUGAAGGUCCUUAUGUCGUCAAGAAGGCCUUCUCCGGUGGUGCUUUAAUCCUUACACACAUGGAUGGUGUAGAGCUUCCAAAUCCAGUGAAUGCCGAUAUAGUCAAGAAAUACUUUGCCUAAAAAUAUGAAAAGAACAGCGUGGUAGGUCGAAAACCCGAAAGGGCGGCCUAGGCAAAAAUGCGCUUCCCGGUGGAUCGAAAACCCGAAAGGGCGGUCCAGGCAAAAAUAAGGGACAAAAAAAACAACAAAUAUGAAAAGCUCGCUGAGAUUGUACACAACUCAGGCAAGAAUGAGCGUCUCGAUGAGCCGAAAACCCGGAAGGUCGGUUCAUGCAAAAAUGAGAUUGAAACAAAAGGCAAGUAACUAUAUCUGGCCAACCACCGUCCCCCUUGGGGCAUCUGCAGCUGUUAAUGCCUAUCUUCAUCAAAAGCUUCUGUACUUGUGAAUUCGAAGUUUCUGGGAAAUGUCAUGAUUACUGUGUUCAAUGUACCACCAACCAAUAAAAUUACCAUUUUCCAAGCUUUGUGAAUCCGUGGAGUCGUGCCUUCGGCUGAUCACCACUCUUAUACAUCAAUUUGAGCUUGUGCUUUUGUUUGAAACUCUAUUUUUCUUCUACUUUCAAAGCUGUAUACAAAACAUUCUCUUUCCAUUUUGAUAAUGACAAUGCUUGAAACAAACAUUUUUGAAAAUUGAAAACUUUUUGUCUAUUUUGAAAAGCAAACCCGAGCAACAGGGUACAUUCAAAUGAACAUGCAUGAGCGAGUGUGUGUGGGUGUCUAUCUUCAAUAUAUGUUACAAGCAGGUUCUCCUCCAAGAUAAUCUGUGGUCAAUGGCAAGAAUGAAAAAACAGAAUGAAAAUGCAUGAAAAUGAAUGAGCUCGCUAAGUUGAAAACCCGAAAGGGCGACUUAGGCAAAAAUGAGCACCCCGCUGGAUUGACAACCCGAAAGGGCAGUUCAGGCAAAAAUGGGGCAUUGAAAAGAAUUUAUUUCCCCGGUGGGUCGAAAACCCGAAAGGGCGAUCCAGGCAAAAAUGGGAUGCAAAAAAUGAAUGAUGAAGAUUGAGAAUAUAACAUGCAAAAAGCAUUGACCACAGAUGCGAUGUCCACAACAUGCCCAGCACAACGGCAUUAUCCCCAGUAAAGUCUCUCAAGAUUCUAUCCCCAGCAAGUUGCAUAGCUACCAGCCCUCAGCCUAGGUCCCGAAACGUCUCCCAACGACGUCAUCUCCAAAGAGGAUUUCCAAGAAUGUGUAAUAUAGCUCGAGCCACUACGUGCCCAAUACUCUGAUGUCUUGUCUUCCCCGUGAAGUCGUGCCUACAAAAUGCCAACAGUCAUGCAUUACAAGCAUUCAUACAUGCAUAAUCAUGCAUAUUACGUACCCAUGCAUUUAAUGAAAUUGUUAUAUCAUCCAUGCAUAUUGCAUUUCCAAUGUCAACAUCAGUCUCAAUUCAACACUCAUGUCAGGUUCUCUGUCAAAACCUUGUGAGCCAAUAAUAUCGGUCAAUUUCUACCUUUCAAUUCAAAUCGACGUCAAGUCAAUCUCAAUCUAUAUUUUGUCAACAAACCAAUCCCCAGUGAAUAUGUUUUUGUUCGGUCAAGUUACUAGUUCGCAUCCAAGAACGACUUGCACCCGUUUACUUUUCAAUGUUAUCGGUCGAGUGCCCAGCUCAAUCCAAGAGCAGCUUGUACCUGUCUAUUUGUUUCUGUCCGGUGGAGUAACCAGUUCGCAUCCAAGAACAAGCUCACACCUGUUUAUUUGCCUUGCUUUCGGUCGAGUAACCAGUUCGAAUCCUUAAGAACAACUCGUACCUGCCAAUUUUACAUGUUUUCAGUCGAGUCACCAGUUCGAAUCCGUAAGAACAACUCGUACUUGCCAAUUUUCUCUUUUUCCCAGUCGGGUCACCAGUUCGAAUCCAUAAGAACAACUCGCACUUUCCAGUAUCCCCAAGUGAGUUAUCAGUUCGAAUCCAUAAGAACAACUCAUAUUUGUCCAGUAACCUCUAUCCCCUGUGGAGUGACCAGUUCGAAUCCAUAAGAACAACUCGCAGUUGUCUGUUUGUUUCAUUCCCGGUCAGGUGCCCAGCUCGAUCCAAGAGCAGCUUGUACCUGUCCAACUUGUUUCUAGUUUCCCGUUACUCUGCUAUUCACUAUCUUUGUCAAUGUCUACCAAUCCCGCAAUGGAUACGACAUAUUUUGUUAAUUCCAAUCCCCAUGAGGUCUUGCAUUCAUAAUCCAAACGAUGCAUGGCAUGCAUAUUAUUUGAAAAUGGGUAGGCGUAUUUUUACGUCCAAACACAGUGCAAAUGCUAAUAUUUAAGUAUCUUCGUCCUGUCAAGCCAAAGACUCCGUCUCUUGACUCUCCAGACAAAGAAACUUAAAUAGGGGCAGCUGUUAUACCCUGUUUUUGGACCUAAAAAUACUGGGCCCAAUUUCAUUUCAAACUUUGUCAAUUAUCAAAUUUCAACUGCACAGUUCAAAUUGUCUCUGCCUCGCAGUAUUUUUCAAUCACAAUUUUACCUAUGUUUUUCUUGCAUAAAACCUUUCGAAAUGUCUUUACUUGUCUUGUAAGUCAUUCAAAAGUGUCUCUGAAUCAUUACAUUGCUUUUUCCACAGUUUAUUUCAAAAUUUGCAAAGAAGUCAUACAGAAGGGUAUUUUGGUCAUUUCCCGCAGUGGGACCCAUUUUCAUCCUUGUGACUGUCUCUGAGUCUUUUCAAAUUCAUUUUUAACUUUCCAUCAGUAAACCUUGCUAAUUUCGUUUCAAACUUGCAUCUGAGUCAGUGUCGAGUUAAUUUGAUUCUGUUUAGGUCAUUUUUAGCCCUAGGGGCAUUUUGGUCAUUUCACAUAAAAUUUUGGCAUGGGGAGGUUACUUUGAAGUACCUCAUUUAGGCCAUUGGUUCGUUUUAGUCCGUUUUGUCAAUUUUAUUUUUUUGUUUCGCUUUACGUUUUGUCAGGUUACCAAUUUUAUUUCAAUUUUAUUUUAUUUUGCAUUUUGGUCCUCAAAGAGGUCCAAAAUUGCAUUUCAGUCCAGAAUUCUUUCUAUUUGCAUUUUUAGUCCUUUUUGUUAUUUCCAUUUUAGUCCUUUAAUUUUUCAAUUUUGCAGAAAAGGGCUCAAAGUGUCAAGCUCACGUUUUUUUUCAGUUAAAGUCCAGAUGUCACAAUUCUAUUGGUCCAAGAUCACACAUGUCAGCUAUAAAAGGUGUACAGUGCCACACAGACCCAUUAAUCACACGCCAACUCAUAAACACAAAAUCAAUUUUCUCUUUCUCAGCAAUUAGAUCAAAAACAGAAAAUCUCUCAGAAUUUCUCAAGAACACCAGGAACAAAAACCCUAACCGUUUUCCAGAAACCCUAAUUUUCAUCAGAAUCAACAUUUUUUGCAUCAAUCCUCAGAGAUUCGUGUGAAUCUUCAUCACCGGACUGAAGAUUUUCCUGCAAUUCCAAGUGCGAGCUCGCAUUGAAGCAAGCUCAAGCACUGAUCACAGGAUCUCCUCGCGUGGAUCUAAGAAACAUUGAAGCAAGCUCAAGCACGUAAUCACAGAGAAGCAGAGAAAGAGUCAGAGAAGAUGAAGAAUCUGGACCGGUGAAGCAAACAGAAUCAAAAAUCAUCAAGAACAGAAUCAAGAUUUCCAAAGAUUUCCUCCAUUAAAGGUUUCAACCAAAACCUUAGGUAAAACUCAUAAUCUUUUCUCAGAAAAUAAUAUCACUGUUAAACCUAAAAAUCACGCAAGCAAAACAGAUCCAAAAUUUCCAGAAUUCAAAGCCAAAACCGUAACCGUGAACACAAAACCUAGAUCCAUAAGGAUCUAAGUUUUGAAAGCAAAAACAAACAUCAAAGAGGUGUUAAACAACGAAAUGAUGUAGAUCUUCAAGGAUCUAAACGUUUUCUUUCAAAAAAUCAAAAUCAAAUUCAAAGCCGUACGACAAAUUUCCAGAUCUACAUCGUUUCGAAUUGAAUUUGAAAAAACAAUUGCUGGAUUCGUGUUUAGGGUUAAAGGACGAAUUGAUUGAUGAAGAAAUUUUGAAAUUCUGGAAAUUUUAGGUCACCGGAGUUCUUGAACUCGCCGGAGAAGAUGAAGUUUCCGGCGGACCUUCAAGGUCUCCGCCGUAGCUUCAUCCUCGCCGGCGGCGAGGUUAGUGAGAGGUGAGAGAAGAGAGAGGAACUUAGAGAGAGAAAGGGGAGUGAAAAGUGAAGAAAACCGGAACCUCUUCCCUUAUAUAAGCUAGUGAACCAGACCGGUUCAAGACCGGUCCAAUCCUGUUGAUUCCAGGCCGUUUGAUCUAGGGUUUCAGGAUCCUGGAUCAAUCCUGUGGCUCCUGUGAAUCCGGUUCUUUAGGGUUUUGGGUUGGGCCUUUGGUUUCUUUGGAUCUUUACGUUUUGCUAUUUCUGUGCUAUUCACACCCCUAUUUUUUGCUGCCUGCACCUAUGUCUUGAUUAAAAUUGUGAUAAAAUUCCUAGAAAAAUUCAUACAUGUUUCUUGAUAUUUUCUUAGUGUUUUUAUGACAUUUUUGCACAUUAAGGAUCUAUGAAAAUUUUGUAUAAUCAAUUCAUAGCAUUUUAAUUCUCUUUGAAUUAUUUGUUAUGGAUUCUUCUUCACACAUUUGUCCUUGAUGUGAGAAUAUGUAAUAAAAGCUACUUGAUGUGUUAAUAUGAGAGAUUUGUGCCUAUAAUUUCAUGUUGAUUUGCUGUUUUGAUUUGGUUUAUGAGUUCUUGUUUUUAUGAACAAUAUAUCCAUAUUUUGAAAGAUAUAAAAUGCCAAGUUUACUCUAGAAAAUAUGGCAUGAAAUCAUGCUUGCAUGUUUCCAAUAAUUCCAUGCUAUAACUUGAGAUAAAGAAAACUCUUUCAAAAUUUGUUAAAGCAUGAGAAUUAGAGGCCAAGAAUGCUUUAGGUUUCAUACCUAAGUUUUUAGGGUUUAAUGUCAUUUUGUUAACUUUUUGUGCCAUCUUGCAUGCUUUUAUUUCUUAGUACUUGUUAUGUUUUUUCUUUUCACUAACAAGUUUAUUUCCAUGUUUCAUGCAUCCUGUUAUCAUGGUUUUUGGGUGCCAAGCCAUUAAUUGGACUUGUACCUUUCGACCGUUGAUAUCUCUAUUUUUUCUUGGGAAGGGCAAAAUUGAGAAAAAACCCUUAGAUUCUAAGUUCGGGGGUCGGUUUUACUACGGGAAGGUGUUAGGCACCCGGAGUAACUAUAGUCCUCUAUAGGAGCCGUUUUCCUAAGUCUAUAUUCACGCUUAUUUUUACUUACUUUUGAAGAUGGGAGGUUUAUUUAGUUAAGAAUGAGGGGAGAGAAGUUGUAAGACUUUUUAAUUUUAUUUCGGCUUGGAUGAGUUUUGACUCAUUGCCUACGUACCGUUUUACGGGAUCAAAACCGGCGUAGUUCUUGCUAAAAAAAAGACUUGUUUUUCUUUUGUUUUAAUUGUUUGAUUUUAAGUUUUAAAAAAAGGUUUUGAAGAAGGAGAUUGGGAGGCUUCAUGAGCAUUAGAUUUAGCAAAAAAGGUGAGGUUUGAUUAGUGAUUUAGAAAGAAAGUCUAAAUGAUUAAGAUGAAUUGAAUUUUUCUUAAGAAAAAAGAGAAAGGAAAAAAAAAAUGAAGUGUUGACUUCAUACUUAUUAUGAAAAUUUUUGAAGUGAAGUUCAAUUGCUUUUUUUGAAAAAAAGAUGGAUUUUCCCUAAGUGUUCAAACCUAAGCGCUUAUCUAACCAUACAAUCCUAUGCAUACAUCUAAGGUGAGUGUGUGCGUGUCGGUGCGUCAUAGUGUCCAUAGUCCAUAUUACAAAAAUUGCCUAAAUACAUUCUAUGGCCCCUUUGCCAAGCUACAAACCAAUGAUAACAAAUUACAUUACCAAAUGAAUUAAAACUUGCAAAAAAAACAAAUGCUAGGCUAAAAAGUGGAGGGAAUGCUGAGUUUUUAUGGAGAUUCUGUUAGGUUUCUUCGGAAACACUUGGAUUUGGCUUUUGCUUGUUGAUUUCUGGCUUUGAACCGAAAAUAAAUCGGUGAUUCUUCUUUUCUCACUGAUUCCGUUUCUUCAUCUUCUUCGCCGGCUUAAAACCUUGCUUCUUUCCCUUUUCUUCUCCUUUUUCAACGCCUCUGUGAUCGGUGUUGGAGUUCUUCGCCACUGGGGAAGAAUUCUCACCUUGAAUUGCAGAGGGAUCAACUCAGUGAUGAAGAUUCGCCAUUGAAUCUCUGAGAGUUUGAUGCAAAAAUCAAUGAAUUUGUGUAUGAAUUUUGGUUCUGGAAAUUUCUAGGGUUCUUGUGUUCUUGAUGAACUUGAUGAUUUUUCUGUUUCUGAUCUAACUGAAUGGAGAGAGAAAGUCUCAUUGUGUUUGUUGAGUUGGCGUGUGAUUAAUGGCUUUGAAUCUGACUCACUGUUUAUAUAGUUGACAUGUGUACACUUGAGCCAAUGAAAUUGUGACACGUACCCUGGACUUGCUCACUUGGGCGCUGCUUGCUAUUUUAAGGACCAAUCUGCAAAUUGUGAAAAUGACAAGGACUGGACUGCAAAAUUAAAAAAAACUUGAAAUGAAAUAAAUAAUAAAAAAACAGUUUGGACAAAAAUGCAAUUUUGGGACCUCAAUUGAGGGACCAAAAUGCAAUACAAAAUAAAAUUUGAAUAAAAAACGUAAUUUGACCAAACGUAAAGUGAAACAAAAAUAAAAUUGACAAAACGGACUAAAACGAACCAAUGGCCUAAAUGAGGUACUUCAAAGUAACCUCCCCAUGCCAAAAUUUCAUGUGAAAUGACCAAAAUGCCCCUAGGGCUAAAAAUGACCUAAACUGACUCAAACAGACUUGACACUGACUCAGAUGCAAGUUUGAAAUGAAUUUAAACAGGGUUUACUGACGAAAUGUCAAAAAAUGAAUUUGAAAAGACUCGGAGAUAGUCACAAGGAUGAAGAUGGGUCCCACUGCAGGAAAUGACCAAAAUACCCUUCUGUAUGACCUUUUGCAAAUUUUGAAAUAAACUGUAGAAAAAGCAAUGUAAUGAUUCAGAGGCACUUUUGAAUGACUUACAAGACAAGUAAAGACAUUUUGAAAGGUUUUAUGCAAGAAAAACAUAGGUAAAAUUGUGAUUGAAAAUACUGCGAAGCAGAGACAAUUUGAACUGUGCAGUUGAAAUUUGAUAAUUGACAAAGUUUGAAAUGAAAUUGGGCCCAGUAUUUUUAGGUCCAAAAACAGGGUAUAACAGCUGCCCCUAUUUAAGUUUCUUUGUCUGGAGAGUCAAGAGACGGAGUCUUUGGCUUGACAGGACGAAGAUACUUAAAUAUUAGCAUUUGCACUGUGUUUGGACGUAAAAAUACGCCUACCUAUUUUCAAAUAAUAUGCAUGCCAUGCGUCAUUUGGACUAUGAAUGCAAGACCUCAGGGGGAUUGGAAUUAACAAAAUAUGUCGUAUCCAUUGCGGGAUUGGUAGACAUUGACAAAGAUAGUGAAUAGCAGAGUAACGGGAAACUAGAAACAAGUUGGACAGGUACAAGCUGUUCUUGGAUUCAAACUAGCCACUUGACCGGGGAUGAAACAAACAGACAACUGCGAGUUGUUCUUAUGGAUUCGAACUGGUCACUUCACAGGGGAUAGAGGUUACUGGACAAACAUGAGUUGUUCUUAUGAAUUCGAACUGAUAACUCACUUGGGGAUGUUGGAAAGUGCGAGUUGUUCUUAUGGAUUCGAACUGGUGACCCGACUGGGGAAAUUGACAAGUACGAGUUGUUCUUAUGGAUUCGAACUGGUCACUCGACCGAAAGCAAAGGCAAAUAAACAGGUGUGAGCUUGUUCUUGGAUGCGAACUGGUUACUCCACCGGACAGAAAUAGAUAGACAGGUACAAGCUGCUCUUGGAUUGAGCUAGCCACUUGACCAAACGGAAACAUAUUGACAGGUACGAGCUGCUCUUGGAUUGAGCUGGACACUCGACCGAUAACAUAAGCAAAUUGAUAGGUACAAGCUGUUCUUGGACUUGAACUAGCCACUUGACCAAACAGAAACAUAUUCACUGGGGAUUGAGUUUUGUUUGACGAAAUAUAGAUUGAGAUUGACUUGGCGUCGAUUUGGUUUGAAAGGUAGAAAUUGAUUGAUAUUAUUGGAUCACAAGGCUUUGACAGAGAACCUGACAUGAGUAUUGAAUUGAGACUGAUGUUGACAUUGGAAAUGCAAUAUGCAUGGAUGAUAUAACAGUUCCAUUAAAUGCAUGGGCACGUAAUAUGCAUGAUUAUGCAUGUAUGAAUGCUUGUAAUGCAUGACUGUUGGCAUUUUGUAGGCACGACUUCACGGGGAAGACAAGACAUCAGAGUAUUGGGCACGUAGUGGCUCGUGCUAUAUUACACAUUCUUGGAAAUCCUCUUUGGAGAUGACGUCGUUGGGAGACGUAUCGGAACCAUGGCUGAGGGCAGGUAGCUAUGCAACUUGCUGGGGAUAGAAUCUCGAGAGACUUUACUGGGGAUAAUGCCGUUGUGCUGGGCAUGUUGUGGACAUCGCAUCUGUGGUCAAUGCUUUUUGCAUGCUAUUUUCUCAUUCUCAUUUUUCGCAUCCCAUUUUUGCCUGGAUCGCCCUUUCGGGUUUUCGAUCCACCGGGGAAAUAGAUUCUUUUCAAUGCCCCAUUUUUGCCUGAACUGCCCUUUCGGGUUGUCAAUCCAGCGGGGUGCUCAUUUUUGCCUAAGCCGCCCUUCCGGGUUUUCAACUUAGCGAGCCUUUUCAUUUUCAUGCAUUUUCAUUCUGUUUUUUCAUUCUUGCCAUUGACCACAGAUUAUCUUGGAGGAGAACCUGCUUGUAACAUAUAUUGAAAUAGACAUUAACAUACUCUCGCUCAUGCAUGUUUCAUUUGAACGUACCCUGUUGCUCAGGUUUGCUUUUCAAAACAGACAAAAAGUUUUCAAUUUUCAAAAUGUUUGUUUCAAGCAUUGUCAUUAUCAAAAUAGAAAGAAAAUGUUUUGUAUAUAGCUUUGAAAGUAAAAAGAAAAAUAGAGUUUCAAACAACAGCACAAGCUCAAUUUGAUGUAUAAGAGUGGUGGUCAGCCGAAGGCAUGACUCCACGGAUUCACAAAGCUUGGAAAAUGGUAAUUUUUAUUGGUUGGUGGUACAUUGAACACGGUAACCACUACAGUUCUUAGAAACUUUGAAUUCACAAGUACAGAAGCUUUUGAUGAAGAUAGGCAUUAACAGCUGCAGAUGCCCCAAGGGGGACGGUGGUUGGCCAGAUAUAGUUACUUGCCUUUUGUUUCAAUCUCAUUUUUGCAUGAACCGCCCUUCCGGGUUUUCGGCUCAUCGAGACGCUCAUUCUUGCCUGAGUUGCGUACAAUCUCAGCGAGCUUUUCAUAUUUGUUUUUUUUUUUUUUUUUUUUUGUCCCUUAUUUUUGCCUGGACCGCCCUUUCGGGUUUUCGAUCCAUCGGGAAGCGCAUUUUUGCCUAGGCCGCCCUUUCGGGUUUUCGACCUACCACGCUGUUCUUUUCACAUUUCUAGGCAAAGUAUUUCUUGACUAUAUCGGCAUUCACUGGAUUUGGAAGCUCUACACCAUCCAUGUGUGUAAGGAUUAAAGCACCACCGGAGAAGGCCUUCUUGACAACAUAAGGACCUUCAUAGUUAGGCGUCCACUUGCCCCUUGGGUCGGGUUGCUGGCUUAUCCUCCUUUUCAAUACAAGUUCCCCUACCUUGAAUUCUCGAGGAUGGACUUUCUUGUCAAAAGCAGUCUUCAUUCUUGCUUGAUAUGACUGUCCACGAGCCAUGGCAUCCAUACGUUUUCCCUCAAUCAAAUUCAACUGAUCAUACCGGCUUUGGCACCAUUCAGCCUCAGAUAACUUUGCUUCCAUUAUCACACGGAGAGAUGGGAUCUCCACUUCCAAAGGAAGAACUGCUUCCAUACCAUAUACAAGAGAGAAAGGGGUUGCCCCGGUUGAACUGCGCACGGUAGUGCGGUAGCCAUGCAGAGCAUAGGGUAACAUCUCAUGCCAGUCCUUGUAAGUGGUUACCAUCUUCUGGACAAUUCUCUUGAUAUUCUUAUUGGCGGCCUCAACUGCACCAUUCAUCUGAGGUCUAUAGGGAGAAGAGUUAUGAUGCUCAAUUUUGAAUUCUUCACAAAGAACUUGCACCACAUUAUUGUUCAGGUUGGUACCAUUGUCGGUAAUAAUCUUGCUGGGAACACCAUAUCGACAGAUGAUGUUGUUCUUGAUGAACUUAGCUACCACUUGCUUGGUCACAUUGGUAUAAGAUGCUGCUUCAACCCAUUUGGUAAAGUAGUCAAUUGCCACUAAGAUGAAACGAUGACCAUUUGAAGCCUUCGGUUCAAUUCUUCCAAUCAUGUCGAUGCCCCACAUCGAGAACGGCCAUGGGGAUGACAUAACAUUGAGAGCGUGCGGAGGCACAUGAAUCUUAUCAGCAUAGAUUUGACAUUUGUGGCAUUUUCUGGCGUACUGGUAGCAAUCAUGCUCCAUAGUCAUCCAGUAGUAACCUGCCCGUAGCAACUUUCUUGACAUAGUAUGCCCUGUAGCAUGGGUCCCGAAGGUACCGUCAUGUACAUCAUGCAUUAACUGCUCUGCCUCAUGUUCAUCAACACAUCUUAACAAUACCAUGUCAUAGUUUCUCUUGUACAGAAUAUCUCCAUCUAACAGGAAUCUACUGGCCAAUCUUCUCAAGGUCUUCUUGUCUUGUUUGGAAGCACCCGGCGGAUACUCACGGCUCAGCAAGAACCGUUUGAUGUCGUAGUACCAGGGUUUAUAGUCAACCACAUUUUCGCCAGCCUGAUCGAUCACAUCCCCAAUAGCAAACACAUGGGAAGGUCUUUCAAGGCGUUGCACUUUGAUUACUGGCACAUCAUUCCAAUGGUUUACUCGGAACAUGGAAGAUAGAGUAGCAAGAGCAUCCGCCAUUUGGUUCUCAUCACGAGGAAUAUGAUGCAGCUCAACCUUUGUAAAAUAUGUCAGAAGACGUCUCGCAUAAUCACGAUAAGGAAUCAACUUAGCAUGGUGGGUCUCCCAUUCACCCUUUAUCUGAUUGAUGACGAGCGCAGAAUCUCCAUAGAUGUCGAGGUGUUUGAUUCUCAUGUCAAUUGCUUCCUCGAUCCCGAAGAUACAUGCUUCAUACUCAGCCAUGUUGUUGGUACAUUCGAACAGAAUUCGGGCGGUAAAGGGAAUGUGAUGCCCUUGCGGGGAUACAAUGACUGCCCCAAUUCCUUUGCCAUAAGCAUUGACAGCACCAUCAAAGACUAAACCCCACUUGCUAUUGGGAUCUGGACCUUCAUUAAUCAACGGUUCGUCGCAGUCUUUGGAUUUCAAAUACAUGAUCUCUUCAUCAGGGAAAUCGAAUUCAAUUGGUUGGUAAUCAUCAAGAGGUUGAUAAGCAAGGUGAUUGGCAAGAAUGCUGCCUUUGAUUGCCUUUUGAGUUUUGAACACAAUAUCAUAUUCAGACAAAAGCAUCUGCCAGCGUGCGAUCUUCCCAGUAACGGCCGCUUUCUCAAAGAUAUACUUUAUCGGAUCCAUUCUGGAUAUCAACCAAGUUGUAUGAUUCACCAAAUAAUGGCGCAGGCGUUUGGCAGCCCAAGCUAAAGCACAACAAGUCUUUUCAAGCAUUGUAUAUCGAGUUUCACAAUCGGUGAACUUCUUACUUAGAUAGUAGAUAGCAUGCUCUUUCUUUCCGGUUUCAUCUUGUUGACCAAGUACACAUCCCAUGGAUUCAUCAAAUACUGCCAAAUACAUAAUCAAAGGCCUUCCUUCCACGGGUGGGACAAGGAUAGGUGGUUCCAGCAGGUAAUUCUUGAUGCUAUCAAAAGCUUCUUGGCAUUCAUCAUUCCAUACAACAGGCUGGUUCUUUCUAAGUAGCUUGAAAAUCGGCCCGCAGGUUGCAGUCAUGUGAGAUAUGAAUCGGGAGAUGUAAUUCAAACGUCCCAAGAAACCUCUGACUUGCUUCUCUGUCUGUGGAGCUGGCAUUUCUCGGAUGGCCCGGACUUUAUCAGGAUCGACUUCAAUGCCCUUUUGGCUGACAAUGAAGCCUAAUAACUUUCCGGACCUGACACUGAAUGUACAUUUGUUGGGAUUCAAUCGCAGCUUGUAUUUUCUCAACCUUUCAAACAUCUUUGUUAAAUAUUCAACAUGCUGCUCCUCAUCUGCUGACUUCACAAUCAUGUCAUCCACAUAUACCUCAACUUCUUUGUGAAUCAUGUCAUGAAACAGAGUGGUCAUUCCCCUUUGGUAGGUAGCACCGGCAUUGAUUAGGCCGAACGGCAUCACUUUGUAACAGAAAGUACCCCAUGGAGUGAUAAAAGAUGUCUUUUCUCUAUCUUCAGGGGACAUUUUGAUCUGAUUGUAACCGGAGAAACCGUCCAUGAAGGAGAACACCUUAGAUUGAGCAGUAUUAUCAACAAUCACAUCAAUAUGAGGUAAUGGAAAGUUGUCUUUUGGACUGGCUUUGUUCAAGUCCCUGAAGUCAACACACAUCCGGACUUUACCAUCCUUCUUUGGCACAGGCACAAUAUUGGCAACCCAUUCGGGAUACUCAACUGUCAUGAGGAAACCCGCAUCGAUCUGCUUUUGAACUUCAUUCUUGAUCUUGAGGGCCAUGUCAGGAUGAGUCCUCCUCAAUUUCUGCCUGACGGGAGGACAUUCAGGCUUGGUAGGGAUCCGAUGCUCCACGAUCAUAGGGUCUAGACCUGGCAUAUCUUCAUAGGACCAUGCAAAAAUAUCCGGAUAUUCCCGGAGGAGUUGGAUGAUCUUCUGUUUAACCCCUUCCUCUAGAGUAGCACCAAUCUUGAUUUCUCGCUUGUUUUCCUCGGUACCUAUGUUGAUAAGCUCAAUCUCUUCUUGGUGAGGCUGAAUGGCUUUCUUUUCUUGCUCAAGUAACCGAGUGAUCUCAUACGGUAUGUCAUCACCUUCCUCAUCUUCGGCUUCAUAUACAGGGAAAUCAAAACUUGGAGGAACCGUAGGAUUACUGUGUUCAACGGGUUUAUUAUGGUUCAACCUGCAUAUAAUGAUUGGAUGAUUUUAGAAAGAGCUUUUUUUUUUCAUGCAGAUUUUUGAAACUAAUAAGAAAAUACAGACGUUUUGGUUUUUUCUGGCAUUACCAUUGUUUCCAAGGGAAAAAGCACUAAAAGAAAAGUAGUCGUGGAAGAAACGACAAAAUUUUAUUAACCAACGGCAAUGCCGAAACAAACAUGCCCUUACAGAAAAUAUCACUCUCGCUUUGGGCAGAGCGAGAGGAUUGUUAUUUUGAAAACAAAGCACUAAAGCAACAAGACACAUUACUCAGAAACAUGCAUGAUUGAAGGAAUGUCAAUGGCAUCCCAAUUCGUCGCAAUGCCUCCUGGUGUAACAAAUACAGGCCUGAGACCAGAUCCAGUGGCUUCUUCAGAGAUAACAUUAACAAACCCUGCACUGUGGAAGACUCCUGAGGAAACCCUUGACGAUGGAGAGAACCCGAGACCUUCUUUACGCUUGUUCUCACAGAGCUGUAUCACCUUGCCCCAGCCGGCAGUCUGACCUUCUUGGAUGGCUCUCUGAGCAUCUUUCAAUGAAGCCAUAGCAGCCCCAGCUUCCUUAGACUCUGCACCUUCGAUGGUCAAACCUUGGAAAGCAGUCCCUUCAGCAGACCCUGCUUCAACACAAGAAAAAGAAGACAACUGGCUGACUAAGUAUGCUUCUUCACCAUGGAUUGUAACGAGUUUUCCAUUCUUCACAAAUUUCAACUUCUGAUGUAAGGUGGAAGUAACCGCACCUGCAUCGUGUAUCCACGGUCUUCCCAGCAGGCAACUGUAGGAUGCAUUAAUGUCCAUCACUUGGAAGGUAACCAAGAAAUUCUCAGGGCCAAUAGUUAUCGGCAAGUCUAUCUCCCCCAGCACAUUCUUUCGAGAUCCGUCAAAAGCUUUGACCAAGAAAGUACUUCUCCUCAACGGGGUCCCACGGUAGCUCAACUGAUCUAGAGUUGUCUUGGGCAUUACAUUGAGAGAGGAACCGGUAUCUACCAACACAUUUGAUAUCAUGUCUGAUUUACAAUUCACCGAGAUGUGCAAAGCCAGAUUGUGACUCCUUCCCACUUCCGGCAACUCUUCUUCACUAAACCAGAGGUUGUUACAAGCAGUAAUAUUUCCCACUAUACCACCGAAACGAUCUACCGAGACUUCGUGGUCAACAUAUGCCUGCUCCAGCACUUUCAACAAGGUGUUCCUGUGAGCCUCAGAGCUCAAGAGUAGCGACAAGACAGAUAUCUUCGAAGGAGUUUGCAGCAAUUGAUCAACGAUCUUGUAGUCGCUCCUCUUUAUUAUUCUCAGAAUCUCGUCUAAAUUUGAAUCCUCUAUAGAUUUGCCUGGCUGAUUCACAUCUGUAGCAAUGGGUGAAACAACGGUUGGAGUUGCUUCUUUAACUGGUGGAGUAAUUGGCGUAGCUACCUUCUUCUGAAAUAACGGCGGACGAACCUUCCCGCUUCUCAGCGCUGCAGAAGUCCCUUCGGCAAUAUUGCUUACUGUGGCAAAGGAGGCUAGAGGCACCUCUACUCCAUUUUCUAUCAUAGUGGCAUUGUACUUGUAUGGCACUGCCUUGUCCGAAGCAUAAGGAAUUGGUCCUGGCAACCUUAUUACCAAAGGCUCAGCAUUCUUCUUCAAAGGUACACUCUUGACAGGCGGAUCGUGAAAAACCGGCACAACCACGCAAACAUCACUGACAGUCAGAAGAUUAUCAUUCAUCAAGCUUUGGAUGUCGUCUUGAACAGUAUAGCAGCCCAAAGGAUCACAGAGGCAUCCUAGACACUUGGCAUGAUCAUGGCUGAACAGAGAAGCUUUGCACAGCUUGAUGUGCAGAGGCACCAGAGGAGUAGCAACAUUGCGGACAUCAAGUCUAGGAGCUUCCUCACACACUUCGAUCAUAUUCACAGCGGCAUGAUUUGGUAGUGGAUUGUCAAGGACAUGUGGAACAUUGUUCUCAAAAGUCAGCUUUCCCUGAUCAAUGAGCUUCUUCACGAUAUACUUCAAAGCAUAACACCCCUCGACAUCAUGACCUAAAGCACCUUGAUGAAAGUCACAUUUGAGAUCAGACCUGAACCUUGGAGGCAACGGAUCAGGUGGGGGCUUACCCUGUCUAGUUGUACAAUGUCCUCUCUGGAGUAGAGUUGGAAGCAACUCAGCAUACAACAUUGGUAUAGGAGGAAAAGUUGGCCUAGUAUACUGCUGCUGCUGCUGUUGUUGUUGUUGUUGAACCGGCAACUGUUGUUUCAUCUGUUGGGCAAUUGCAUUGACGGGCACUUGAGGCUGGCCCGGUGGCAAAGGGUACUGAUGAUAAAACGGUGGGAAGAACGGAUGCUGAGAAUACGGCAUAUAUGGGUAUGACGGAGGCAUUUGAGCUGCAUUGAUAGGAGCAACGGUAGCCAUAGAUUGACCGGCUGCAGCUGACACCAUUCCCACUUCCGUUUCUUUCUUCUUGUGGUGUCCAUUACCAUACCUCUUCGAUGCACUCGUAGAAGAUUCAGCUUUCUCAAACACAAUGAUCCCAUCUCUGACUGCUUCCUCAAGACGGGUUCCCAUGGUGACCAUCUCCGAAAAGUUGUUCGGGGCAGCAAUGAUCAUUCUCUCAACAUAAUCUUUCUUCAAGGUCUUUAAGAACGUCUGGGUCAUUUCUUCUUCAUCUAAAGCAGGAGUGAUACGGGCAGCUGCCCCUCUCCACCUUUGCGCAUAUUCACGGAAACUUUCCUCCUUUUUCUGAGAUAGGGACCUGAGAAACUCCCUAUUCGGCUUCAAACGAGUGUUAAACCCGUAGUGGCUCCUGAAAGCGGUGGCCAGCUCAUCAAAAGUAUGGACAUCGUCUUUGCUCAGACUAGUAUACCACUCCGCAGCAUCUUCCAUCAGACUGUCUUGGAAGUAAUGGAUCAUAAGGGAAUCAUUGUCCUUGUAGUUGCCCAUUUUCCGGACGUAUUUGACAAUAUGAUUUUGAGGACAAGUCAGCCCGUUAUACUUGUCGAACUCCGGGACUUUGAACUUUUUUGGAACAUCUACCUUCGAUACCAAGCAGAGGUCCUGGGUUUUAAUGGAGUCUCCAUUUCCCCUGUUGGCCUUAAUUUCCCGUCGGAGCUCUUUGGCAAGUUCUUCCAUUCUCUCUUCCAUAGUUCCGGUUGUGGUAAUACUCCCGUGGUGUGCGUUGGCAUGGACAAAUAGAGGCACCGCAUUCACAAUGGGCUCGGUAACAGUUGUUGCAGCUUGAGUCAAGGCGGUACUAAUAGGAGUUAAGUUUGCCCCUGGGAUUGGGCCACUGUUGGUAGUACCAGAGGUCCCUGCCCCUGUGUUAGCAGUAUAGUACAGCGGAAGUCCGUAAGGAUACCCGGAUGGCAUGAUAGAGCGGGGAUCAGUUGUUACAGUAGGAGUCACAUUUGCAGCUGUAGAAACUACAGGAACUGGUUGUUCCUGAGCAGCCAACAGAGCAGUCAUAGCAUCAUGAGCUUUGGCCAAUUCCUCCCUUAGAGAUGCCAAUUCGGUACGAAGCUGUGUGUUCUCUUCUUCCAUAGCCCUUUUCUUUCUUCUGUAUUCUCUGGUUCGAUCAAUUCUAUCAGGUUCGUAAACUCUCUGAGCACGAGCCACUUUUCACACUGCGGCAGAGAAACCAGGAGGUGGUAAGCACUUGGAAGCCUUUGUGACCAAUGCAUGAUGCAUAUGAUGCAUGAUGUGCAAAUGCAAAUGCAAAAGACUUAUUUUCUCAUCGAAGGAUUUUUAAACAAAUUAGAAAUCUUGCAAAUAAACAAAACUACAUAGUAUUCUCAACAGAAAGACUUUGAAAUAAACAUAUGAAGCCCUCAAGCAUAGGAAGCAGUCGGAAGAUCAUCGGACUCGGAAUCUGAAUCACAGUAUCUGGCAAAGAAGUCUCGUCGUCCUCUGGCUCUCUUGGAAUCCCUCAUAAGCAGCUCGUCUUUCUCUUCCAAUUCCCUCCGGGCCUUAGCUAGCUCUUUCUUCAACAUUAAAUUCUCAUGAGUCUUCUGCUCAUCUCUACCAUCCAAAGUCAUGAUUAGAUUCUCGGCUUGAUUAUACCGAGCUUUCCACACUUGCUUCUCACGACUCUCCAUAGCUAGAUGCUCCUGAUACAUAUCCUGAGUCGCGGGGAGUAGAGGUAGAGGCAUAGAUGGAGUAGACGAAGACACGUAUCUCAUAGCUGGAUAAGGCAUACCAAUCUCCUCAGCUCGAUCUAUCACCCACUGAGUAUAGGCCUCAUGAGCAACACCGGAUCUCACACCUAGAUGCUUCACACUCUUCCUUCGAACCUUGGACCAAGCAUCCAUGAAAGCUUUCCUUUGUCCGGUAGGAGCAUUCGCAUAGAAGAAGAACUCUGGAGAUGUAGCAAGAUUGAUGGGCUUCGACUUCAUAGGGAAACCAAACUGUCUCAUAGCAAGCUCGGGAUUGUAGUUAAUUCCUCCCCGAGUACCAAGAAGAGGUACAUUGAGAAAGUCUCCACAACCCAUAAUGAUUUCCUUCACUUGAGCGGCAGGAGUGAGCCAGACGACCUCAUUAGGAGUGAGGGCCAUAAUCCGCUGCGAGUAGGACCAGUUCUCCGAGUUAUCAUGGAAGGAACUCGGAAGGUGCGAAAUAAACCACCUAUACAAAAGAGAUGUGCAGCAAAGAAUAUACCCACGGCCCUUGAGAGUCCUGUCAUGAAUGGCGUGGUAAGUAUCCGCUAGCAAAGUAGGAACCGGGUUCUUGGAAUGAAAGAUCUCGAUAGCAUUCAUGUCCACGAAGUUGUCGAGGUUCGGAAAGAGAAUGAGCCCGUAGAUAAGCAAAGCAAGAAUAGCCUCAAGUGUAUCCUGACGAGUAGUACCGAGAUUAGCCUGAUCAAGAAGAUACUUCGAAGUAAACCCCCGGAUGUGAGACUUGGUAAUAAGAUGGUUGGAGACGUCGGAAGUCUUGAGGUAGAGAUCCUUAGCAAUAACCAGAGGAGUAAGAGGAGUCCCAGGACCGGUGAAAGGCGUCUUCUCGGCUAUAGGUAAACCCACUAGAUUGGAGUAAGCCUCAAGAGUAGGAACCAACUGGAAGUCCGGGAAAGUGAAGCAACGGAAGCUCGGAUCAUAAAAUUGCACCAGAGUGUGCACUAGCUUCUCGUCCACAUCGGUUCGGAGCAAAGUAAGCAAUCCCCCAUACCGGAGUCGGAACCCUGUUUGGCUCUUGACCUUGAGCGCCAACUCUCUCAAACUAACCAAAUCCACUUCCUUGAACUUGUAGCACUUAGUCUUCUUCAUACCUGUGAUUAUUUACAAAAAAUUUCCAUUUGUUUAAGUCCUUCGAUGAAUGCAUGAAAAAUGUUUAUGCAUGAAUGCAUGUAUGCAUGAUUGUGUUGUUUAGUUACAAUGUGGGUUGAGAUUCAAAGUAACAAGGCCACGGAUGGACACGGUGUCCGGUGAACUAAGGCUUUGGAUAGUAGUAACCAAGGUUCUAACACAGUUCCCAAACUGCAACCUCUCUCACAUAUAUCAUGGUAGUACAGGACGACACCCGUUCCAUGUUUAUUUGUGAGAAGGUCUAGCUUGAGUGUAGUAUCGCGUGACGACUAAAGUUUGAGACAACACUCAAUUUAGCCACCGCACUACGUCCUAAGAAGGCUAGGAUGGGUUUGGUAACUACGGUUCAUAGCUUCGUCGAACAAUUGAAAGUGAAGUGCCUAAGCAUGACAACACACGCCGACAAUACCACCUUCAAAAUGCCUCAGCUAUGUGAGAUUGAUCGCAUAAUCCAAUACACGAGGCAACCCCCGGAUCGAAUUGUCGAUUAUAUCUCUACCUAAACAUAAGUUCACUCAGCCCGGGUAUAGGACUUUUGAUAUUCUCACCCCACACGUCAAAUGAAAAUAAACAAGUAUUCACAUGUGUAGGCAAUAAAAUAAAGCAUAAAUAUACACUAAGGAAAACUAGGCGCGACCCGCUAAAAAGAAUUUCCCCAGUGAAGUCGCCAUUUCUGUUAUCAUGGUUUUUGGGUGCCAAGCCAUUAAUUGGACUUGUACCUUUCGACCGUUGAUAUCUCUAUUUUUUCUUGGGAAGGGCAAAAUUGAGAAAAAACCCUUAGAUUCUAAGUUCGGGGGUCGGUUUUACUACGGGAAGGUGUUAGGCACCCGGAGUAACUAUAGUCCUCUAUAGGAGCCGUUUUCCUAAGUCUAUAUUCACGCUUAUUUUUACUUACUUUUGAAGAUGGGAGGUUUAUUUAGUUAAGAAUGAGGGGAGAGAAGUUGUAAGACUUUUUAAUUUUAUUUCGGCUUGGAUGAGUUUUGACUCAUUGCCUACGUACCGUUUUACGGGAUCAAAACCGGCGUAGUUCUUGCUAAAAAAAAGACUUGUUUUUCUUUUGUUUUAAUUGUUUGAUUUUAAGUUUUAAAAAAAGGUUUUGAAGAAGGAGAUUGGGAGGCUUCAUGAGCAUUAGAUUUAGCAAAAAAGGUGAGGUUUGAUUAGUGAUUUAGAAAGAAAGUCUAAAUGAUUAAGAUGAAUUGAAUUUUUCUUAAGAAAAAAGAGAAAGGAAAAAAAAAAUGAAGUGUUGACUUCAUACUUAUUAUGAAAAUUUUUGAAGUGAAGUUCAAUUGCUUUUUUUGAAAAAAAGAUGGAUUUUCCCUAAGUGUUCAAACCUAAGCGCUUAUCUAACCAUACAAUCCUAUGCAUACAUCUAAGGUGAGUGUGUGCGUGUCGGUGCGUCAUAGUGUCCAUAGUCCAUAUUACAAAAAUUGCCUAAAUACAUUCUAUGGCCCCUUUGCCAAGCUACAAACCAAUGAUAACAAAUUACAUUACCAAAUGAAUUAAAACUUGCAAAAAAAACAAAUGCUAGGCUAAAAAGUGGAGGGAAUGCUGAGUUUUUAUGGAGAUUCUGUUAGGUUUCUUCGGAAACACUUGGAUUUGGCUUUUGCUUGUUGAUUUCUGGCUUUGAACCGAAAAUAAAUCGGUGAUUCUUCUUUUCUCACUGAUUCCGUUUCUUCAUCUUCUUCGCCGGCUUAAAACCUUGCUUCUUUCCCUUUUCUUCUCCUUUUUCAACGCCUCUGUGAUCGGUGUUGGAGUUCUUCGCCACUGGGGAAGAAUUCUCACCUUGAAUUGCAGAGGGAUCAACUCAGUGAUGAAGAUUCGCCAUUGAAUCUCUGAGAGUUUGAUGCAAAAAUCAAUGAAUUUGUGUAUGAAUUUUGGUUCUGGAAAUUUCUAGGGUUCUUGUGUUCUUGAUGAACUUGAUGAUUUUUCUGUUUCUGAUCUAACUGAAUGGAGAGAGAAAGUCUCAUUGUGUUUGUUGAGUUGGCGUGUGAUUAAUGGCUUUGAAUCUGACUCACUGUUUAUAUAGUUGACAUGUGUACACUUGAGCCAAUGAAAUUGUGACACGUACCCUGGACUUGCUCACUUGGGCGCUGCUUGCUAUUUUAAGGACCAAUCUGCAAAUUGUGAAAAUGACAAGGACUGGACUGCAAAAUUAAAAAAAACUUGAAAUGAAAUAAAUAAUAAAAAAACAGUUUGGACAAAAAUGCAAUUUUGGGACCUCAAUUGAGGGACCAAAAUGCAAUACAAAAUAAAAUUUGAAUAAAAAACGUAAUUUGACCAAACGUAAAGUGAAACAAAAAUAAAAUUGACAAAACGGACUAAAACGAACCAAUGGCCUAAAUGAGGUACUUCAAAGUAACCUCCCCAUGCCAAAAUUUCAUGUGAAAUGACCAAAAUGCCCCUAGGGCUAAAAAUGACCUAAACUGACUCAAACAGACUUGACACUGACUUAGAUGCAAGUUUGAAAUGAAUUUAAACAGGGUUUACUGACGAAAUGUCAAAAAAUGAAUUUGAAAAGACUCGGAGAUAGUCACAAGGAUAAAGAUGGGUCCCACUGCAGGAAAUGACCAAAAUACCCUUCUGUAUGACCUUUUGCAAAUUUUGAAAUAAACUGUAGAAAAAGCAAUGUAAUGAUUCAGAGGCACUUUUGAAUGACUUACAAGACAAGUAAAGACAUUUUGAAAGGUUUUAUGCAAGAAAAACAUAGGUAAAAUUGUGAUUGAAAAUACUGCGAAGCAGAGACAAUUUGAACUGUGCAGUUGAAAUUUGAUAAUUGACAAAGUUUAAAAUGAAAUUGGGCCCAGUAUUUUUAGGUCCAAAAACAGGGUAUAACACAUCCCAUUUAGCAUUCCCUCCACUUUCUUUAGCCUAGCCUUUAUCUUUUGCAAGUUUUAAUUCAUUUGGUAAUGUAAUUUGUUAUCAUUGGUUUGUAGCUUGGCAAAGGGGCCAUAGAAUGUAUUUAGGCAAUUUUUGUAAUAUGGACUAUGGACACUAUGAUGCACCGACACGCACACACUCACCUUAGAUGUAUGCAUAGGAUUGUAUGGUUAAAUAAGCGUUUAGGUUUUAAACACUUAGAGAAAAUCCAUCUUUUUUUCAAAAAAAAAUAAUUGAACUUCACUUCAAAAACUUUCCUAAUAAGUAUGAAGUCAACACUUCAUUUUUUUCCUUUCUUUUUUUCUUAAGAAAAAUUCAAUUCAUCUUAAUCAUUUAGACUUUCUUUCUAAUCACUAAUCAAACCUCACUUUUUGCUAAAUCUAAUGCUCAUGAAGCCUCCCAAUCUCCUUCUUCAAAACCUUUUUUCUCAAAACUUAAAAUUAAACAAUUAGAACAAAAAACAAGUCUUUUUAGCAAGAACUACGCCGGUUUUGAUCCCGUAAAACGGUACGUAGGCAAUGAGUCAAAACUCAUCCAAGCCGAAAUAAAAUCCAAUUCUACUUCUUCUCACCCCCAUUCUUCACUAAUCAUACUUUCUUUUUUACAAAUAAGCAAUAAAACUAAAGCGUAGAAAUAAACUUAGGAAAGCGGUUCUUAUGGAGUACCAUAAUCGCUCCGGGUGCCUAACACCUUCCCGUAGCGAAAACGACCCCCGAACUUAGAAUCUAAGGGUUUUUCUCAAUUUUGCCCUUCCCAAGAAAAAAUAGAGAAUAUCAACGGUCAAAAGGUUCAAGUCCAAUUAAUGGCUUGGCACCCAAAAACCAUGAUAACAAUAAGAAACUGAAAUAGUGUAUUUUGUUUAUAACCCUCCGUCCCAUAAAAACCGAGCCAUUUGCAAAAAAAUAUUGUCUCAGAAAAAUUGACUCAUUUCACUUUUCAAUACAAUAUUAAUUACUUUUUUUUUCCUUUCAAUUAUAACACUAAUUAAUAUUACUUUCACCACUCCCAAUUUAAUAUAUUCUAAUUUGCAUUUAUGAUAAAGAAGAAUGCACCAAUAGUUACUCAAAACCAUUUUUCUCUCUCUUUUUACUUAUACAUAUUUUCUUAAUAAGUGUGAAAUGAGCUAAGAGCUGAGCUCGAGCUCAGUUAAAAUGGGACGGAGGAGGAAUGUAAUUCAAAGUAACUCAAUUUUAUGCUAUUUAUUUAUUUAUGCUGAAGCCUCAUUAUAAUAGUAUAUAGUGAUAUGUGUGAGAAGCAUAGGAAAAGUACAUAUGGUGAUGAAUGAUGGAACAAGCUUAAAGUCAUAAUUAUUAUUGUUCAAUCAUAAAUAGAUGGUCCCCCAAUUAGAAAAGUAUUUAUGAUCCCCCAUUUUAAAAUGACCCUCGUCCUUUUUUAGAAUUUUAAUCUUAAUAAUGGUGAUAUAUCAUAAUUAAAUGGAUGCAUUUAGGAAGUUUAUAAAUAAUUUUAUAGGUAUUGAUGAUUUUACAUUAUCGGAUCGUAUGACACAUCAUUUAAAAUAUGUCAUGUUAUAGUUUUUUAGUUUAAAAAUAUGAAGAAAAAGAUAUGUCACGUCAGUACUUUUGAGUCCAAAAAUAUAAAAAUAGGCCAAAACGAAUUAUUCUAAAAUUUGGGACAAAUUUCAUGAAAAUAAAGACCUAGAGUGUAGUUAAGACUUAUAACUAUUUUAAACAUUCCUUAAAAAAACUAAUCUAUAAAAUGACAUACGAUUAAUUAUAAAUAUGAUUGACAUAUACUCUAAAAAAGGAAAUGUUUGCAUAUGGUAUUUUAAACACCGUUCUCGUGAACUUAACUCAAUUGAUACGGACAAUGCUUAAUAUGUGCAAGGUCUAGGGUUUUAACCUUGAUCACAAAAAAAACACCAAUAUUUUUUUUCGGGGAUAUUAAACACCAAUAUUCUUUGGAUACUUCUACCCUAAUAUCCAUUACUAAAGUAUUUUAAAUUAUUUAUUUAAUUUUUGUGUGGCUUUUGAUGGUCUAAUCCUAAUUUGUAGAGCAACAUGCAAAUAAUUGGACUAUAAAAGUUACGUGCACAAUUUUUCAUCAAGAAUUUUUUGGCAGCACGCAUUGAAAAUUUGUGUCUCAUUAAGAAUUUGUUAGCACUACGCAUGCAUAUUCUUUUGGGCCUGUCAUCCUGUGUAUUUUCAUUUUCAACAGUAAUUUGUCGGCACUACUAAGCAUCUAUAUCUAUCUUUGUUUUGAAACAGCAAAACUUAUAAAAAAAUCCACUCUUUAGACAAAAACGAACAAAUACCGACAAUUCAAAAACUACAAAAUAAAACGUCAUAUGUAGGCAGAACACAAAAAAAACACCAUAACAUAUCUCACCUCACCAAACAAAAACCUACGUUCAACCGCCAUAAGAAAACAAUCACCAAACCCAACUUCAUCACUCAAACCAAACUCCAUCGCAAACGACCACUGAAAACAAAAUCCAUAAACAUCCAUCGUCCGCUACUCACCCCAAUACCUCCAAAAACCAUCUUAAACAUCAUCAUCUUCUCAUCACCAUAACCUAGCCCAAUUUAACACCCGAAAAGUCCUAUUCCAACUCUCCUUCGGGUUCUACCACCCCUCAUCCCCUGGUCCACCAAAGAAAACAUCAUAAAUAUCCCAAAAUAAACUUGACUCACCGUAUAUUUAUAUCUAUAUCUAUAUCUAUAUCUAUCUAUAUAUCAAUUAAUUCAGGCUCUCAAGUUAUAUCUAUUAAUUUAGGCUCUCAAGUUAACCUCUUCACAACUCACCAUGUUAUAUAUAUCAUAUAGUCUAAUUUUGGCCACAUCAAAUAAAUUCUAAUGUGACAUCUUCCAAAACACACCAUUCCUUAUUCUCUCGUUGCCUUGCUUCAUAAUUUAUGUAUUAUUACAUCUCAUUCCCUUACGAAUUCACAAUUAAAUGACGUUUACUACAUGUCAUAACUCUCAUGUAAUAACGUCAAAUAAGAUGCAUGACCUUAAAUGUCAAAUCAUUAUUAUUAUUAUUAUGAGAGAAGAAGUGAAUGAAUAAUAUUCUCAUUAUUGAUCAAAUGAUAGAGGUUACAACUUAUAUAGUCAUGGUCUAGGAAUACAGUAAUACAAUAGUGGUAACAUCGAAUAUAAAAACUAAGAUAGCUAACUCUACUUGAUAAUAACUCUCAUGUAAUGUCAAAUAAGGUGCAUAACCUUACAUGUCAAAUCAUUAUCAAAUUUAUUACGAAAUUAAUCAAGAACCAAACCUUGAUCCAACAUGGAACUCAAUCAACAAUCAACCCACUUAUUUUGUCGUUAACAUGUUUGUAUGUUUUUUUCUUUUGUUCUCUUUGUAUCAUUUGAUUAUUACUUUAUUGUUUAGAUUCUUUAGAUUGAAUGUGUUUUUUCCUUCAUCUCCUAUGCAAUUAAUAUAUGGACAUGUUUUAAUUCGGUAAUAACGGUGUGCUCAUCAAAUUGGCAAAAUGUUUCCACAUAAAAAAAAAUAAAAAAAUAAAAAAUGUAGCGGUUCAUGUCUAAUAUGAAUCCGGUUAAUAAAAUAAUAUUUUUUUCUCUCCAAUUUUUGCUAAACAUAGGACACCAUUGUUAUUUUUUGCAUGUUAUUUUUUAAGCGACACGUUUUAUAGAUUUUUUUUAGGGAACAUUGUAUGGAAUUUUAGGAAAUGGAUCUCGCCAACUUAAUUUUUUUGUCAGGUUGUCUAGUGGUUCGAGUUCACACAUAUUAGAGAUAUAUAGUUUAGUUACAAGUAGUACUAGUCCUGGUAGUAUAUAUAGUUGUAACCACCUCAUAAGUGGGAUACUUUUCACUCAUUAGUAAUAUUUCAUUUCUAUCAAUACAAAGAGUUUGUUAGAUUUUGCUCCUUCGAUCUAUGGAUGCCAUGUUUCCUAACAACACAUUUUAAAUGUGGUGAAAUAGAGUAUCCGAGUUUAAACCCUAACCCCUACAUAUAUUAUGCGAUGUCCUUAUCAAUUAAGCUAUGUUCACCGGAAUAUUUCUUUCUGUUUUCACAUCUCAACCAUCAUAUAACCUCUCUCUCAAAUUCCAAUAUCAAUGUCAUCUCCUCUUUAUAAUUUAAUGGUCUAGAUUCCCACACUAAUUCUUCAACUUCUUUUUUACCAUGUAUCAUUUUUGUCACAUCACUUAUUUUUCAACAUGCAAGACUUUAUUCCAUUUUGCAUAUCCUACACUCCAUGUUUGUAAUUGCAGACGAUCUAAUUUCUCAUAAAUGAUCUCAACCUAGGAUCAUGGAUAUGGUCAAUAUCAUGGAUACCGCUAGAAAAUUCAUUUGUAGACCACAAAUGAAUUUUCUAACGGUAACCACAAAUGGAUUUAUGGUUAUAUAUAUAUAUAUAUAUAUAUAUAUAUGCGCGCACGCUGGGGGCCAUGAGUGAGAUGAGAACUGAGGGAGAAGGAUCCACAUAUGCAAUGGUUGCUAGUGAAAAUCCUUCCUUAUCUUAGUUUCAAAGGAUUUAUUCCAUUGCAUCUAUAUAGAAAAAGAGAAAAACUAAAAAUGUGUAGUUCUGUUAUUGAUCAAACAAAUAGCUAACUAAAACUAUAUUAACUAUACCCUCUAGAUGCAGACAAAUAGAAUGCUCAUAUACAUAUUCCCACCAAUAUUCUUCACUUCAAAUGAAUAUAACUAAAUGUGUCGGGGUCGUUUAGGUUUCAAAUAUCAACAUGUGUCGGACACUAAACACACAUCAAUUUGAAGUGUCAAUGCUACACACUUUAAAACCUUUGACCUAAGCAAGCUUACCAUGUCUAUUUUACAUUAAAACUGUUUUCCAUGCUAGAGUAAAACAUUUACUUAUGAUUUGUAUUUAAUUAGUUAGUUAUUCCUAACAAAACUAUAAAUCUUGUAGAAUAGAGAAGGAUGUUAGUUUAAACCUGUACACACGGCAAAAUGAUUGUUUUGCCUUAAUUUAUCCUUCACAUGAGAAUGGAAUUCAAGAUACUGUGGAAAAAACCUAACUCACCCAACUGCAAUUAUUCAAAGCUAUAAAAUUCAACUAAUAAAGAUUUAAAUACAUGCCAUAUAACUAUCUAAUUCAAUCCAUUUAAUAUUAGCAAUAACCACUAUUUUAUUUUAAGAAUUCUUGCACAAGAUAUGUUCAAUUCCAUCAUCAUAAACUGAUUACUUAUUAGCAUCAUCUCUUAAAUUCAAUGUAAUACUAAAUUGCAUAAAAAAAAGUCACUUAGGUUUGAUUUUGUUUAAGCAAAACCUCCUUAAUCACUUUUUCCAAAUUCAUGUAUGAACAACCACCAGGUCUCGUGUCCUCCUCCGCCUUCGUCUUCAUCUCAAUUAUCUUUUUCCACAUCUUCUUUCCUUUCUCCCCCUCCAUCAAUUCAUUGACCAAAUUCUCUACCUCAUCUCUCUUCACAUUGGUGUCAAUUUCCAUGCCAAUCUCCCAUGUAUUGCAAAUAUAUCUGCAGUUUGCUGGCUGAUCAGCAAAAAAUGGCCAACACAACAUUGGAACUCCAGCAGAUAUGCUUUCAGUGGUUGAGUUCCAUCCACAAUGAGUCAAGAAUCCACCAAUUGAAGGAUGGUUUAAUACUUGCUCUUGCGGGCACCAGCCCGCGAUUAGGCCUCUAUCUGAAAUUUCAUUGACAAACUCCGAUGACAAAACAACUGAGCCACCGAUGACAAGAUCGGGCCUAAUGAUCCACAAAAAGGGUUGCUUGCUAUUUGCUAAACCCCAUGCAAACUCUAACAGUUUUUCUGCCGUCAUAACUGUCAUGCUCCCAAAAUUCACAUAAACAACGGACCUCGGUUCCUUGGAUUCAAGCCAACCAAGACACUUGUUAUCUUCUUUCCAAAGAUUGGUACUUAAACUUGCCAAGUGAUUAUGUGGACUUUGACUUAAAAGUGAAGAUAAAGGGCCGAUACCACAAAUAUUUGGGAACGUCGAGGAGAGAACAUUCAUUACAUCCUUCUCAAGUUCACUAGAAGUAUUAAAAAUAAAAGCAGACGCUUUGUGAGCCCUUCCUGCUGCUUCAACGAUAAAUUCUACCAUCGAAUCAUUUGUAUCUGUAAUCCUUAUAAAGUCAGGCAGAUCCUUCAGUCGAAAGUUCUGCAAUCCUGGAAUACAAUCCACUUUAGUGUCCAAAUAUCCGUUUGUCAGAUAACUCUCAUCUACAUGUCAAAUUUAUAAAAGUUGUUAGCUGGAAAUAAAAUCUCCAUACUCCUAAUACAUGUCAUUUGAUUUUGAACACUUUAACUAUUCUACAUAUAUGAAGAAAGCAAGAAGAUUAAUUGUUACCUUUUAGUGGUAUGAGACCUUUAUCCAACAAUGUACUAAAAUGAAUAAAAGUCAAAAAUGUACAUGCAUUGGAUGGACUAAAGAAAACAGAAGGGAUUGAAAGUUCUUCAGAAGCUUGUAUGGUAAAAGACAUGCCAAUAUCAGAAACUAUGCAAGUAACUGGAGGGACAAGACCAGAUGUUGCAGAGUCAUUUAGUCUAGCAAGAAGUUCGCGGAAAGGUUGUAGGAAGUUCUUUCUGAUUGAUUUACAAAGAGCGUAAAUGUCUUGACUAACAUCGCCAUCACCAUCCGUUGGAGUUAAACCAUCCGGAAUAGUCUCAAAGCUAAAAUCAGUGAAACCAUCAAAGGCAUUUGGACCUCUUGACUUGAGCAACCGUUUGUGGUUGUAUUCAGUGUUUACAUAGGUUAUGUGAAAUCCUCUAAGGUGAAGAAGUUUUGCUAGUUUCAACAAUGGAUUGAUAUGGCCUUGAACUGGAUAUGGAAUUAACACAGCAUGUGGUUUUUUAUCACUCAUUUUUGAGUUUUUGUGUUUGAAUGUUGAGCUAAGGGAAGCCAAUGGUUUAAUAAAGAUAAAGCCAAUGUUUCUUGGAUUUGUGUAAAAGAAGAUAAGAGACAAAAGUCAAGGAAAGCAAACUCAAAUUCUAAGUAAUAUGUAACACAAUAAUUGAUACAUACUUAUCAAGUCACCACUUUUUGUUAUAGAAGGAAAACAAUUUUUCAUUAAAAAGUUUAUUGAACAAACUUAAGCAUGCCUUUUGGUUUGCGGUGGCGAGAAUUGAUUUGAAUGAAUUUGUUUGAUAAAAUUAGUAUCAGGUUAAAAGUGCGUUGAAUAUAAAAUAAUUUGUGUUUAUAUAAAUUUACGUAAAAUUGAUUUGAACUAUAAAUUGAAGACUAAAAAUCGAUUAUAAAAACAAAAUUUUGAUAUCUUAACUUUAAAUUACGAGCAAUUUGGAGACAAAAUCAAUUCUAUUUAAUUUGAGAACACAUAACCAUAGGGUCUGACUAGGCUUAUCUAAGAUCCCUAAUGUAACCAACUUGCAUCUAAUCAUAACUAACUUAUAACUAUCUUGAAAAAUAUCAAACUAAUUUUAACAAAUCUGAAACUAUAUCUAACACAUACUUGCAUGGAAUUGCAACCAUUCAGUAGAAAGAUAUUAUCAAACAAAAUCUUCAUAUGCUUUAGUCAAAAAAAAGGAAAAUCUUCAUAUGCUUGUGGACCAACUGAUCCAUACGUUUCAGUUUCAAAAUUGAACUAGAUGACACUUUUAUUCAAGUAAGUGUAAGAUAGUUCUGACAUCAAAGAUUUUUGUUGUACAAAGAAAAUAAUCAUGACCACUUAUUUAUUUUAUAAUAGUCUAUUGGCUAUUAUUUUCCAUGCUUGAAUCAGUCAGACAUUGGACAUCACAAAAAAAAAUUGUCCUUUUCAACAAAGGCUCAAGAUUAUCUCCAAAGUCACAAUUGCAUAAAAGCCAAAUUUACUUUUAUUGUGCAGAGAAAAGUGGAUGUAUAUUAUCAACACUGCCUUCCAUAAGGGCUUCGUGUCCUCUAAUUUUUUUUUUUACUAGUCUUUGUUAUGUCCUUUAUCAUGUCUAUGAGGUAUCAACUCAAUGGUAAGAGUUUGAGCUUUUAACCUCAAGGGAAAAAGUACAAUUCCCCUUAAUAACAGUGGUAAAAAUGCUCAUUGUUGUAACUUUAAUUAAUAAACCCUUAUAUUGACUAAUAGGAAUGUUAAAAUAUUUCUUGAAAUCUCAUGUUGAAAGUUUGUUCUUCUUUUCGGUUUGAUUAGUGUUCCCAUGCACUAGGCGCAGUUGUUUGUUGUUUUCAGCUUGUUGUAAUUUGUAGCUUGCGCAAGGCGAAGGAUAUAGCUGACUGAGGCGCAGGUGUGCAUCAAGAUCUAUAGAUAAGCAGGUUUUGCAUCAGUUUUCAGGGUAAAAAAGUGGGAAUUCUAAGGUAACAAAAGAGGGAAUUUGUAGGGUUAAAAGUUCACAUAUAUAGAUAAGAAUUUGUAGGGGACAUUGAUGAUUUCACACAAUUUGCAUUUGCAUCAUCGGUGAAUGUUUUUGAAUGUUCAUAGAGGAAAGAAACUUUGAAUUCAAAUGCUUUCAAAUCAAUCUAUGCAACAAGAAGCUGACAAAGUAGUGCAGAGAAAUUUUAUAAACGAGCUAAAGAAGAAUAUAAAUUUAAUAUUAUUAUGAUUUUGAAGUAUUGUCUUACUUCGAAGUAUGAACAGCAAUGUACCAUACUUAAGAACAUAGCAAGACCUAAAAUACAAAUGAUUUGUUCCUAACAAAACUAUAUAUAUUGUAUAAAAGUAACUUAUGUUUGAUUUUGUUUAAGCAACACCUCCUUAAUCACUUUCUCCAAGUUCAUGUAUGAACAACCUCCAGGUCUCGUGUACACCUCCGCCUUUUUCUUCAGCUCCAUGGCCUUUUGCCUCAUCUUCUUUCCUUUAUCUCAGGACAUCAAUUCAUUGACCAGUUUCUCCACGUCCUCCCUCUUUACAUUUGUAUCAAUUUCGUUUCCAAUCUUCCAUUCAUUGCAAAUAUAUCUUCAGUUUGCUGGCUGAUCUGCAAAAAAUGGCCAACACAACAUUGGAACUCCAGCACAUAUGCUUUCAGUGGUUGAGUUCCAUCCGCAAUGAGUCAAGAAUCCACCGACUGAUGGGUGGUUCAAUACUUUCUCUUGUGGACACCAACUUGCUAUUAGUCCUCUAUCUGAAAUUUCUUUCAAAAAUCAGAUGAGAAAACCACCGAGCCACCAAUGACAAGAUCAGGCCUAAUGAUCCAUAAAAAUGGUUUCUUGCUGUUGGCCAAACCCCAAGCAAACUCUAAGGCUUCUCUUGAGACUUAACAGUGAUGCUGCCAAAAUUUACAUAAACAACAGAUCCUGGUUCUUUUGAUUCAAGCCAUUCAAGACAUUUAGUAUCUUCUUUCCAAAGAUUACAGUCUAAAGAUGUCAAGUGAUUUUGUGGACUUUGAUUUACAAAAGAAGCUAAUGGACCAAUUGUGUAUAGAGAAGGGAACAUAGAAUAGAAAGCAUUCAUAACAUCACUCUCAAGUUCAUUAGAAGUAUUGAAUACCAUACCAGAAGCUCUAAGACAUUUAUCUGCCACUUCAGUGUUAAAUCUUAUCGUCAAGUCAUUAGGAUUUUUUGUCUUUAUUAACCUAGGAAGAUCCUUCAAUCUGAAGUUUUUCAAACCUGGGAUCCAGUCAACUUUCGUGUCCAGAUAUUCAUUUGUUAGAUCACUCUCAUCUGCAUGUCAUAAUUGCAAAAAUCAAUAGCUUAAAGUCAUAUGUAUAAAUAUAUAUCAUGGUUUAAAAUCACAUUAACAAUAAUAAUUUUGCCUGUGCUAUCAUAUUGAUAUUGCAUAUAAUCCCAAUCAAAUCUGGCUGAUGAAACCUCAAUUGUGAUUAUAGAGACAUCGCAACCUUGAUGUUCGGCCCAUAUUGUGACCGCAAAGCUUUUUUAAAAACCAUAACAUACACACAAAAACACACACAGAUCUCCUAAAAAGAAAAAGGGAACAGAAAUGAUUACCUUUGAAUGGUAGUUGACUAUUCUGAUACAUUUUAGGACUGAGCAAACAAGCCAAGAAAUAACAUGCUCUACUUGGGGAAAAAAGAACAACUGGGAGUGCAUGUUCUUCAGCAGCAGCUACUGUAAAUGGCAUGUAGCAAUCAGAAACUAAGCAAGUGACUGGGGGGAUAAGACCAGCAGUGGCAGAGUCUUGAAGUUUAGCAAGAAGUUCAUCAAAGAAGUGGUGAAAGUUCGUUAUGAUUGAUUCACCAAGAGAGUGUAGGUCUUGACUAAUAUCACCAUCACCAUCCUUUGGAGUUAAACCAUCUGGUAUAGUCUCAAAGUUAAAGUCAGUGAAACCAUCAAAGGCAUUUUCACCUCUUGAUUUAGCAAACGUUUGUGAUUGUAUUCAGUGUUAACAAAGGUUUAUGUGAAAGCCUCUUAGGUGAAGCAGUUUUGCUAUUUUCAACAAUGCAUUGAUAUGACCUUGAACUGGAAAUGGAGUUAAUUAACACUGCAUGUGGCCUUUUCUCUUCAAAGUUGGUCAUGUUUGAUAUUUUUCUUAUGUAAGAAAACAGAGAAAAAACUGAGGUGAAAAAUCUAUGAGGCCUCUAUAACAAUGAGUAAGUUUUGUUACAUAUCUAUUAUCUAUUAUAUAGUAUAAAAAAAUUCUUAAGAAUAGAAAAACCAUUUUUUUUUAAUAAUUCAAUUACUGUCUAAUUCAUGUUUAUCUAAUUUUUAGUAUUUUAAUAAUUGAGAAGAUAAUAAUAUUUUUUUUAAUGUUGACGUUCCGAUUUUUAGAGAAAAUGGGUUCUGAUAAUUUGGAGUUCGGUCGUGAGGUAAACAUCACCUUACCAAGAAUUGAGAAGAGAAUAAAAUAAAAUAUAAUAACAUGAAUCUAACUGAAAAAUGAGGAGAUUGAAACUCCGAAAGCAACGUCUGCAUGUUGAAAGGAGACCACUUUCUAUACACACACAAUGGUGUUCAGACGGGUACAGACUUGCCAAUCUAUUUAUUAUGACCAACUAAACAAACAUACGAUUUUUAAACGUUAUCUAUGCGGACAGACUCUGGACCAUUGUUCAAGUCACAUGACUUUUAAACGUUAUCAAUUUGGUGCGCUUUUAAUCGAUUUUGAGGCUAAAAGACAUCCCAAUCGUAAGAUAAAAGAGUAUUUAGUUUGGUUUGGUUCAGUUGAUUUUUAAAAUAAAAUUUAAACCAAACCAAACCAAUAUGAUUUGAGUUGUAUUGGUUGAUGCGGUUUUUUUGAGACAAUACAAUUUUUUGUUUCCAACAUUAAAAUCGAGUUAAAAAGCUAUAACACAACAUAUUUUCAAUAAUGUUUGAAACAAUGUUUUCAAUUUCAUCCAACAUUACAAUUUUAUUUUCACAAAACAAAAUAGACGAAAUUUAAAAUGUGGACAAAAAGUAAUCCUAUUAUUUAAUAAAUGUAAAAGAUUAAGAUUUAUUAUUCUUAAAAUUUUAUUUUAUAAUUUUUUUAAUUUUUGAAAUAGAAAGCAAAGAAGAAACUUAACGUACAAGGGAAAAAAAUAUGCCGUUUUAUAAAAGUUUUUAUUGAGUUUCUAUGAGUAUUGGUGUAGGUGACAUAGGUUUAAUUUGGUUAGGUGACAUAGUUUCUAUGAGUAUGUCGUUUUACAAAAUAGUUUUUUUGCAUUUUUUGGUAUAUAAGAAGAAACAUAAACUAGUAUACAUAUGAUUUUUUGACAAAAUGGAUCCUUCACAUGAUAAUGGAAUUCAAGAUACUGUGAAAGAAUUCUUAUUCACCCAACUUAACAUAUUUAAACUUGUAGGAUUUAUAUUAUAAAGUUAAUAUACAUGCCAUAUAAUUAUCCAAUAUGCAUAUAUUCAAAACACUUAAAAUUAGCAAGAAUCACUAUUUAAGUUCAGGAACUCUUGCUGAAGAUGACUUCACUUACAUCAGAACUUAAAUUCAAUAGGGGAAGAUCAAUUAAUUAUCGUUGAACUGAAUUGCAUAAAAAAGUUACUUAAAUUGAUUUUGUUUAAGCAAAACCUCCUUGAUCACUUUGUCCAAGUUCAUGUAUGAACAACCUCCAGCUCUCGUGUUUUCCUCCACUUUCUUCUUCAACUCAAUUGCCUUUUGCCGCAUCUUCUUUCCUUUCUCUCCUGACAUCAAUUCAUUGACAAGUUUCUCCACCUCUUCUCUCUUUACAUUCGUAUCGAUUUCCAUCCCAAUCUCCCAUUCAUUGUAAAUAAGUCUACAGUUUGUUGGCUGAUCACCAAAGAAUGGCCAACACAACAUUGGAACUCCAGCACAUAUGCUUUCAGUGGUUGAGUUCCAUCCGCAAUGAGUCAAGAAUCCGCCAAUUGAAGGGUGGUUCAAUACUUUCUCCUGUGGACACCAACUUGCAAUUAAGCCUCUAUCUGAAAUUUCAUUCACAAACUCAGAUGACAAAACGACUGAGCCACCAAUGACAAGGUCAGGCCUAAUGAUCCACAAAAAGGGUUUAUUGCAAUUGGCCAACCCCCAAGCAAAUUCCAACAGUUGUUUUGGUGUCAUAACUGUAAUGCUUCCAAAAUUCACAUAAACAACGGAUCCCGGCUCCUUGGAUUCAAGCCAUUCAAGACACUUAGUAUCUUCUUUCCAAAGGUUGGAACCUAAAGAAUCCAAUUGAUGAAUUUGUGGAGUUUGGUUUAAUAAUGAAGGUAAAGGGCCAAUGGGGUAAAGAGAAGGAAACAUAGAGGAGAGAGCAUUUAUUACAUCACUCUAAAGUUCAUGGAAAGUAUUCAAAACAAUUGUAGAGUCUCCAAGAACUUUAUCAGCCGCAUCAAUUACAAAGUCUAACAUAAUAUCAUUUGGAUCUGUUGUCCUGAUACUGUCAAAGAUAUCCUUUAACCGAAAGUUUUUCAAACCUGGAAUCCAAUCUACAUUAGUUUCCAAAUAUCCAUUUGUUAGAUAGCUCUGAUCUGCAUAUCAAAUGUAUCAGUUAAUAUCUUGAAGGUUAUACAUACAUCCGUACAUACAUGAGUAUUUUGUUUUCGACAAAAACAUACAUAUAUAAUAAGGUAUUAUAAAUUGAAUAAAAGUCAUUUAUUGAUGUAUAAAUUUUAAUUUUGAAGUUUUAUGAAAUUUGUGGAGUUCCUCUAUUCAAUAAGAGUUUUUAAUUUGAUGGUUGCUUUAUUGAAAUUUAGUGUCUACAUUGAGUUUUAUAUUAACUGAAACUAUAUCAAGUGUUACUCUUGGAGUAAGUUGAUUAUCUCGCACACGACCAUUUAUAUAGAUUUAAUUCAUAUAUAGAGUCAAAGUAAAAGUUUUUUACACCGUCAAUAAAUCAUAAGUGUCAGAAUAGUGUAGCAAAAUUAAUAUUAAUCUCUCUAUAAAUAUAUACUUUAUGAAGAAAAAAACUUAACUUAGUACCUUUGAGUGGCGUGAGACCUUUUUCUACAAAGGAACGUAAGUGGUGAAUACUCAGUAACAAACUUGCACUGGAUGGAAAGAAGAUAACAAUUGGUAGUGCAAAUUCUUCAGCAGCUUGUAUAGUAAAGCUCAUAAAAUAAUCAGAAACUAAGCAAGUAACUGGUGGAACAUUGGCAGAGUCAUUAAGUCUUGUAAGAAGUUCACAAAAAGGUUUAAGGAAAUUUUUUCUUAUAGAUUGAGCAAGAGAAGGUACAUCUUGACUAACAUCACCAUCACCUUCUAUCGGUGUUAGACCAUCUGGUAUGGUUUCAAAGCAAAAACCACGGGAACCAUCUAAGGCAUUUGGACCUCUUGAUUUUAGCAAUCGUUUAUGAUUGUAUUCAGUGUUGACAAAGGUUAUAUGAAAUCCUCUAAGGUGAAGAAGUUUUGCAAGUUUGAACAAUGGAUUUAUAUGUCCUUGAAAUGGAGCUGGAAUCAACACAGCAUGUGGUUUUCUGUUUGCAAAACUUCCCAUCUUUGAAAUUUUUCUGUUUGUAUGUUAUUUGUGCAAGAUAUGAGGUUGAAAAACAAGUGAUAGGCAUGUGCUUUUAUAGAGAGAAAAAAGGACAAUGCUACAAAAUUGAAAAAUAUAAAGAAAUCCAAACAGAUAAAUUCUGGGAGGUUCUAACAAAAGGAAAUAAGUUCAUUGUAUGAAAAGACAGACACAUAAAAAGACACCAAAAAUGACACUGACACGUUAACGUCAAUGAUAAUUUGAGAAAUAAAUUAAUUCAAUGUAAUUACAAUGUGUCUGACAUAAAAUUGAAAUCUUAUACAGGUAUGUUCUUGUAAACUUUCCUAUAUGACUCAUUAUAUUGAUUGAAUAUGUUUGUUGGUAUUUGGUUUAACCAAUCAAUGUGGCAUUAACAAUUCAACUGUUACUUGUUACUUAGAUGUCGUUUGAGAUUUAUUUGGGAAUUGAUAAAAUAGAAAAGUUGAGAAAAACUUUAUAUUGUGAUCCUAAAAUCACUAAUAUAACCAAAUUGAAUCUAACCAUAUCUAACUAUCUUCCAAAAUAUUAAACUAAUUUUAACAAAUCUGAAACUACAUCUAACACAUACUUGCAUGGAAUUGCAACCAUUCAGUAGAAAGAUAUUAUCAAACAAAAUCUUCAUAUGCUUGUGGACCAACUCUAUACGUUUCAGUUUCAAAAUUGAACUAGAAGGCACUUCUAUUCAAGUAAGUAUAAGAUAGUUCUGACAUCAAAGAUUUUUGUUGUACAAAGAAAAUAAUUAUGUCCACUUAUUUAUUUUAUAAUAGUCUAUUGGCUAUUAUUUUCCAUGCUUGAAUCAGUCAGACAUUAGACAUCACAAAAAAAAUAUUAGUCCCUUUCAACAAGGGCUCAUGAUUAUCUCCAAAAGUUACAAUUGCAUAAAAGUCAAAUUCACUUUUAUUGUGCAGAAUAGUGACUAGUGGAUAUGUUGUCUUCAUUAUCAAUGGUACCUUCCAUAAGGGCUUUGUGUCCUCUAAUUUUUUUACUAGUCUUUAUUUAUGCAUGUAUUAUAAUCCUUUAUCAUGUCUAUGAGAUAUGGGCUCAAUGGUAAAAAUUUCAGCCAGUAAUCUCAAAGGACAAAGUUCAAACUCCCUUGAUAACAGUGGUAAAAUGGUCAUUGUUGUAACUUUAAUUAAUAAUUCUUAUUUUCACUAAUAAGAAUGUUAAAAUAUGUCUUGAAAUCUCAUGUUAAAAGUUUUUUUUCUUUUCGGUUUGAUUAUUGUCCCCAUGCGCUGGGCGAAGCUGUUUGCUGUUUUCAUCAUGUUGCUAUUUUGUUGCUUGGAUGAGGCGAUAUAGCUAAAUGAGUCAUAGGUGUGCGUCAAGAUCUAUAGAUAAGCAAUUUUUGCAUCAGUUUUCAGGGUGAAAAUGUGUGAAUUUUAGGGUUACAAAAGAGGGAAUUUUUAGGGUUAAAAGUUGAGAGCUUUUGGAAAAAUUAUAGGAUUAGGAAACAUUUUUGUACAUCUUGGAAAUAAAGCAUCGAGUCUUUUGUCCAUCGGAAGAGAAUUGGGAAAAUUGUAACCCUUGUAUUUCUUUGUAAGAAACUCUUUGUUAGUGGUAAGCCAGAUUUGGGUCGAACUGGAUAACUUUGUUUUGGUUGUUGCUAAUAUUUCUCCACACUUCAAAGUAUUGAUGUGAGUUUUUACAAAUUCACAACAACUGGAACCCACCGUGGGAGAAAUAAGAGGUAACUUUUUCAAGUGUGCAACAUGGGUACCAACUGGGAUAUCAAUAAAUUUAUCGGAGACAACGAUUUGGGGCUGUGAAAAGUGAAGAUGAAAGAUGUGUUGAUUCAACAAAAGUUUGCAGAAGCACUGAAGGAUGAGGUUGCUCUCCCAGCUACCAUGUUACAAGCAAACAAGACCGAGAUGGUGGACAAGGCCAUGAGUGUCAUUGUCUUGUGCCACACUGAUAAAGGUUUUAGAGAAAUCGUAAAGGAGCAAUUGACGAGUCCUACAAAAUCCUUGAUGAUUUGACAACUAUUAAAGUGGAUAUUGAGGAUGAAGACACGGAUAUACUCUUAUUAUUAUGAGCAUUAGCUAGAUCCUUUGAGAACUUCAAGGAUACUAUGCUUUAUGGUAAAGAAGUCAUUGUCACUUCGAGGAAGUCCAAGAGGCACAUAACCAAGUCCAAGAACUUGAAAGUUGAUGAUAGUGGUGAAGACAUGAGUGUCUAAAGAGGAAGACGUAUAAGUUGAUGAAAUCGAGGAAGCUCAAUUGAUGGUGCAAGUUGAAGUACAAAUACUCCAAGUGUCAAACGACCGGUCACUUCAAUAAGGACAUUCCCAAGUUAGAGGACAUUAAUGAUUCCGCACAAUUUGCAUUUGCAACAUCAGUGAAUGUUUUUGAAUGUUCACGGAAAGAACCUUUAAUUUCAAAUCAAUCUAUGCAACAAGAAGCUGAUAGUGUAGUGCAGAGAAGUAUGCUUUUGAAGUAUGAUUUCCAAGACAUCCUUAAUCACUUUGUCCAAGUUCAUGUAUGAAGAAUCACCAGGUCUUGUGUCCUUCUCUGCCUUCUUCUUCUUCAACUCCACGGCCUUUUGCCUCAUCUUUUUUCCUUUCUGUCCCACCAUUAAUUCAUUCAUCAGCUUCUCCACCUCCUCUCUCUUCACAUUUGUAUCAAUUUCGAUUCCGAUCUCCAACUUAUUACAAAUAUAUCUGCAGUAUGUUGGCUGCUCAGAAAAAAAAGGCCAACAUAACAUUGGUACUCUGGCACAAAUGCUUUCCAAUGUGGAGUUCCAUCCACAAUGAGUCAAGAAUCGUCCAACUGAAGGGUGGUUCAACACUUGCUCUUGCGGACACCAGCUUGCUAUUUGGCCUCUAUCCGAAGUUCCAUUCACAAACUCGGAUGACAAAAUAACUGAGCCACCAAUGACAAGCUAAGGCCUAAUGAUCCACAAAAAAGGUUUCUUGCUGUUGGCAAAACCUCAAGAGAACUCUAACUGCUCUGGAGUCAUAACCAUAGUGCUUCCAAAAUUCACAUAAACUACAGAACCUUGUUCCUUAGAUUCAAGACAUUUCAUAUCUUCUUUCCAAAGAUUGGAACCUAAAGAAGCCAAGUGCUUUUGGGGAUUUUGAUUCAAAAACGAAGAUAAAGGGCCAAUGGCGUAAAUAGAAGGGAUCUUAAUAGAUAGAGCCUUUACUACAUCACUCUCAAGUUCAUUAUAAGUAUUGAAAACAAUAGCGUUAGCUUCAUGAACCAUAUCGUCCGCUUCAAUGAUAAAAUUUAUCAUUAGGAUCAGUAGUUCUUAUAAAAUCAAGCAGGUCCUUUAGUCUAAUGUUUCGCAAACCUGGAAUCCAGUCAACUUUAGUGACCAAAUAUCCAUUUGUCAGAUAACUCAUCUGCAUAUUAUAAUCACAAAAUCCAUUAGCUUAAAGUUAAAACUCUGAACCCCUAAUAUAUAUCAUAUUAAUUCUAAUACUACAUUCUAUGUUGUAUACAUACUCUCAGUUUCUCCAAAGGAAGAACUUCCAUAGUAAAACUAAACUAUAGUAAUGAAACUCUUCACUUCUGCAUAAUAGUCCUACACUAUCGAUAAAGAAAGAACAUAAAUGAUUACCUUUGAGGGGUAUGACACCUUUAUCAAUAAAUGUACGAAAGAGCAAAGCACACAAAAGUGAGGAUGCACUAGCAGGAAUAAUUCAAUAUCAGAAACUAAGCAACUAACAGGAGGAAUAAGAUCAUCAUUGGAAGAAUCUUUUAAGUUUAGCAAGAAGUUCACAAAAAGGGUGAUAGAAAUUCUUUCUUAUUGAAUCAUCAAGAGAGACAAUUUCUUGACUAAUAUCACCAUAACCUUCUGUCGGAGUUAAACCAUCUGGAAUAGUCUCAAAGGUAAAAUCAGUGAAACCAUCAAAGGCUUUUGGACCUCUUGAUUUGAGCAAAUGUUUGUGAUUUCGGUGUUGACAAAGGUUAUGUGAAAGCCUCUAAGGUGAAGAAGUUUUGCUAGUUUCAAUAAUGGAUUGAUAUGGCCUUGAAGUGGAUAUGGAGUUAUGCUUACUGAUAUGAGUGAGAAGCAUAAGAAAAUCAUAAAUAUAUUUGACUUUAAUAGGUCCCCCAAAUCAUUGGAAUAUAAAAGUUAGGUGCACAAUUUUUCAUCAAGAAUUUGUUUGCAGCACGCAUUGGAAGUUUGUUUAUUUUUAUUCUCAUUAAGAAUUUGUUGGCACUGCACAUGCAUAUACAAUUGUUUCUUGGUUGAAAAAUAAUAUAUUUUUCAUGGUUUAUACUAUUUCAAUUCUUUUCUUGUUGAUAGUUGAAAUGGCAAGAAUCGUUGAAAACUCGCACACAUAAGUGGAGAAGUUUGGAUUCGAAACCCCAGUUACGGAGUUGGCCUAACAAUUUUGUUCUUUAUUGUCUAUUAAGCUAGAACUUGUCGACAUUUAUUUCCUGUUUUUUAUCAGACCAUACAUGUGAAUUUGAAUUGCAUGCAAGCACAAUUUCCACGCGAUCAGAAUUAAUUCAAUCAACAGCUCGGAGUCAUUUCAUCAAAUAUUCGACGUCUCUUAUUGUAGGAUAUGUGAAUCCAUUUUAAAAGCAAACUUAAAAUUGGAGUCGUCCAAUGUUAAUCUAAUAUCUCCGAGCUGCGCUGGCUGAACAAGUGCCUAAAAUUGUGAUUGUAGACAAAGGUUGCUAGUAAAAAUACUUCCUUAUCUUAGUUUUAAACGAUUCAUUAUAUUGCAUCUAAAUAGAAAAUAGAGAAAAACAUAAAAUUUAUAGUUCUGUUAUUGAUGAAAUGAUUUCCUAAAAGAAAAAAGCUUUGAAACUAUAACCUCUACGUACCGAGAAAUAGAAUGCUCAUAUACAUAUUCCCACCAAUAUUUUUCACUUCAAAUGAAUGUAACUAAAUGUAUCGGGGUCGUUUAGGUGUCAAAUAUCAACAUGUGAAGUGUCAAUGCUACACACUUUAAAACCUUCAACCUAAGUAAGCUUACCAUGUCUAUUUUAUUUUAAAACUGAUUUCUAUUUUAGAGUAAAAUAUUUACUUAUGACUUGUAUUUAAUUAGUUAAUCCUGAUAAAACUAUAAAUCUUGUAUAGAACGAUAGAACGAUAUUAAUUUAAACCUGUACACACAGAAAAAUGAUUGGUUUGCCUUAAUUUAUCCUAUACAUGAUAAUGGAAUUCAACAUAGUGUGCAAAAGCCUUACCUACCCCAUAUAAUUAUCCAAUUCAAUACAUUUAAUAUUAGCAAGAAGCACUAUUUUAGUUUAAGAAUUCUUGCACAAGAUAUGUUCGAUACAGUCAUCAUGAACUCAUUACUUAUUCACUACAAUAGCCUCAUCCCUUAAAUUCAAUAGCAGAAGAUCAAUGGAUCAAUAUAAUACUACAUUGCAUUAAAAACGUCACUUAGGUGUGAUUUUAUUUAAGCAAAACCUCCUUAAUCACUUUUUCCAAGUUCAUGUAUGAACAACCACCAGGUCUCGUGUCCUCCUCCGCCUUCUUCUUCAUCUCCAUUAUAUUUUUCCUCAUCUUCUUUCCUUUAUCUCCCACCAUCAAUUCAUUGACCAAAUUCUCCACCUCAUUUCUCUUCACAUUAGUAUCGAUUUCGAUUCCAAUCUCCCAUGUAUUGCAGAUAUAUCUACAGUUUGCUGGCUGAUCAGCAAAAAAUGGCUAACACAACAUUGGAACUCCAGUAGAUAUGCUUUCGGUCGUUGAGUUCCAUCCACAGUGAGUCAAGAAACCACCAAUUGAAGGAUGGUUCAAUACUUUCUCUUGCGAGCACCAACCAGCAAUUAGGCCUCUAUCUGAAAUUUCAUUCACAAACUCCGAUGACAAAACAACUGAGCCACCAAUGACAAGAUCGGGCCUAAUGAUCCACAAAAAGAGUUGCUUGCUAUUUGCUAAACCCCAUGCAAACUCUAACAGUUUUUCUGAAGUCAUAACUGUCCUGCUCCCAAAAUUCACAUAAACAACGGACCUCGGUUCCUUUGAUUCAAGCCAAUCAAGACACUUGUUAUCUUCUUUCCAAAGAUUGGUACUUAAACUUGCCAAGUGAUUCUGUGGACUUUGACUUAAAAGUGAAGAUAAAGGGCCAAUAGCAUAAACAUUAGGGAACGUCGAAGAGAUAACUUUCAUUACAUCCUUCUCAAGUUCAUUAGAAGUAUUAAAAAUAAAAGCAGAGGCUCUGUGAGCCCUUCCUGCUGCUUCAAUGAUAAAUUCUACCAUCGAAUCAUUUGGAUCAGUAAUCUGUAUAAAGGCAGGCAAAUCCCUCAGUCGAAAGUUCUUCAGUCCUGGCAUACAGUCCACUUUAGUGUCCAAAUAUCCGUUUGUCAGAUAACUCUCAUCUGCAUAUCAAAUUUACAAAAGUUGUUAGUGUGAAAUUGAAUCUCCAUACUCCAAAUAUAUGUCAUAUGAACACUUUAACUACUCUACACAUAUGAAGAAAGAAAGAAGAUUAAUUGUUACCUUUUAGUGGUAUGAGACCUUUAUCUAGAAAUGUACGUAAAUGAAUACCAGUCAGAAAUGUACAUGCAUUGGAUGGACUAAAGACAACAUUAGGGAUUGAAAGUUCUUCAGCAGCUUGUAUAGUAAAGGACAUGCUAAUAUCAGAAACUAUGCAACUAACUGGACGGACAAGACCAGAUGUUGCAGAGUCAUUAAGUCUAGCAAGAAGUUCGCGGAAAGGUUGUAGAAAAUUCUUCCUGAUUGAUUUACAAAGAGCGUAAAUGUCUUGACUAACAUCGCCAUCGCCAUCCGUUGGAGAUAAACCAUCUGGAAUACUCUCAAAGUUAAAAUUGGUGAAACCAUCAAAGGCAUUUUGACCUCUUGACUUGAGCAACCGUUUGUGAUUGUAUUCAGUGUUUACAUAGGUUAUGUGAAAACCUCUAAGGUGAAGAAAUUUUGCUAGUUGCAACAAUGGAUUGAUAUGGCCUUGAACUGGAUAUGGGAUUAACACAGCAUGUGGUUUUUUA
rnacentral:lncRNA from 1 species